rnacentral:lncRNA from 1 species
AUCCAUCCAUCUCCGCCCUGCCGCUCACGGCCGUGCAUCCAUCGGUGGCCACCAAAACAGGUUGCCCCGCUCGGUCGGUGACUUGAUCAGCCGUGACCCCGCCCCUAGGACAAGACAAUGGGUGCUCCAUGCCCACACUUCUCUCCUACUUGUACGUGAAUGAAUGAUUUUCAGGUAACUAUAACUGGUGCUACAUUUUGUGAUGGCAAGACAUAGGCCAAUUAAAGAGGCCCUGGCCUGAAUCCACAUGCCCUUGCUCAGAAACAAUCACCGCCCCCCCUGCACUGCACUGCGCCCGACGUCAGGCGUCCUACCGCGCUGUCGCAGAGGUGGCUCCAACACGUAGGAGGACAUGUGGCCUUUCCUUGUCCUACCGUCGCGUUCGCUACGGUCAGCUUCGUGUACACCUCUCGCCUAAUCUUCAUUGCUUUCUGCGCUCGUCCCAUUCUUUUAUUGCACUGCUGCAGAAUCCAUUUGCAAGAAUCUAAUCUACGCUCAGAUUGUCUUGGCGCCGGUCCACCUUCUCUUCUUUAUACAACCGCAUUCCGCAGGUGCCUGAAUGAUUUAUACGCACGCAAGCGUGUCCUGCUGACAAGUCACAACUCACAACAGCAGCAUUGAUAAUCUGAUUGAUACAGGUUCCUGUACAUUAGUAGUACUCCAUUCGUUCUUAAAUAUAAGAAAGAUUACAUACGGAUAUGUAUAGUCAUAUUUUGUUUCAUACGUAUGUAGUUUUUUUAGUGAAAUCUCUAUAAAAAUUUAUAUUUAGAAAUGGAAGAAGUGUUACUUCGUUGCAGUCCAUCUAAGGCCUUGUUCGGUUCUUUUAAAUUUGAAGGGGUUUAGAGGGGAUUGAGAGGGAUUAAAUCCCCUAUAAGUUAAAUUCCACCUAAAUCUCAUUCAAUCCUCUCCAAUUCCCUUCUGGAAGGGAUUAACCGAACAAGGCCUAAUAUGACGUAUACAGGCAACGGGGAGGUACACCCCCACAAGGCACAGCUGCUCUCCGUACAUGAAGUUACUAUAGUAUGCAGUAACAAACACUCGACUGGUCACUCAUCAGGCUAAGCCUCACAUGAUGCACUUUUAUCGCAAGCGCCAACCUGCUGGUUUGACGAUGAAUCGGCAUUUAGCAGCAACUGCUCGGUGAAAGACAAGCACAAUAGCUACUACUGGCAGGGUCUCGUGUCCACUGCUUAAUUCUCAAGGCGCCAACAUAUUAAUACAGACAUUCAGAUAAAUACACACCUUACAACUUGCUAGUAAAACAACGAACAAGCUGAACGCUGGAUGCAGAAUACUACAAGUAGUUGCAAACGAAGCAGCAAGUACGUAGUUUUGCAAGCUGUCCGGUCCAGACCUGUCGGCCUGACAGUCCUGGUAUACAAAAUUACAAAUGAGGAAGCUCCUGCAUUUUUUCUAUAAAAUAGCUUUUUAUUAUCUCACGAUGUAGUACCAAGUGAAUACAAAUCAUAGUGAACAAUACCUUUGGAUACAGAAUCAAACACCAACAGUCUGAGAAAAUAAAAAACAAAAAUUGACGUAUCAACAAUAGUAAAGUCAUAUAGAACCGACAUAGUGCGUAUGUCAAAGGAAGCAGUGGACCGACCUAGAGAUUAUGUUACUAUGAGGUGUUUGGUUCAUUACUUUGUAAUGUAAUCGGUUUACACCGGUAAGAGAUAACGUUAGAUUUUGUUUGUUUUGACCGAGUGUAAUCAAAUAACGGAGGAAUCAGAUCCCAGCUUAGUUGUAAUUCGAUUCCGUCCAAACUCAUGGGUAAACCGUUACCGCAGAAAAAAGGAAAAUCCUAUCUCUUUGCAUGGGUCUUCUUUCACGAUGUGGUUUUCUUGAUAGCCUCCGGCAAGCCAACCGCCGCGGCCGGGCUCGCUCCAUGUCCUGCAUGGAGCCCCGUGACACAGACGCCCUCUCGUCCCUCCACUCAGCUCCUCCAUGAACCCUCCUGGGUAGCCACACACUACAGCUGCUUCGGCGGCGCGACGGCGGAGGCCUUGUUAGAGCAUAUAUCUCCAUAUGUGGUUUUGGUAAUUGAUGACAAUNNNNNNNNNNUCUUGUAGUCCUCAGAUGAAGAUUCUGAUUUCCUCAUGUCUCUUCUUGAAGAUUUACCAAACUGGCCACGUCGUGUAAAUCUCUGGAAUUUCCUCACGAGCAUUGCAAGCUCCUAUCCAAAUUCUUUAGGGUCACCAAUGUUGUCAUGUGUGUCUUCUUCUUCAGAUGAGGAAAUUGCUCUAGCCUUCAGUGCACGUGGUCUGGAAUAGCUUGGUCCAUAUAGAUCUUUCUUUUCUUCUAGCUGGAAUUCAUGAGUAUUUAGCCUUUCGAGUAUAUAAGCUGGAUCAAGCAUCUUGUAGUCUGGUCUUUCUUGAAUCAUCAAAACUAAAGUAUCAAAUGAAGAAUCCAAAGAUCUCAGCAGUUUCUUCACAACUUCGUGAUCAGUGAUGUCUCGAGCUCCCAGUGCUUGCAGUUCAUUUGAUAUGUCAGUGAGGCGAUCAAAGGUGUCUUGGCAGCUUUCAUUGUCAUGUCUCUUGAAGCGAUUGAAGAGAUUGCGAAGAAUAUCAACACGAGAGUCACGCUGGGUUGAUACUCCUUCAUUUACCUUGCACAGUCUCUCCCAGACCAGUGUCGCAGAGCCCAAAGCACUUACUCUUCCAAACUGGCCUGGUCUCAGAUGGCCACAGAUGAUGUUCUUCGCUUGAGAAUCGAGUUGCUUGAAUUUCUUCACAUCAGCAGCAGAGACACUAGCAGGGAUGAUGGGGACGCCAUGUUCAACAAUAUAUCAGAGAUCAUUAUCAAUAGCUUGCAGAUGCAUUUGCAUUUUGUUCUUCCAGAAGGGAAAGUUCUUUCCUUCAAAGGUAGGACAUGCUGCAGUCACCUUAAACAUGCCUGCAGUCGACAUAACUAAAACUCCAGGUGGUUAAACCAAAAUCACAUAGAACAAGGGAGUACCUUGCUCUGAUACCAAUUGAAAGUGUGUUAUAUCGACUAUAGGGGGGUGAAUAGGAGAUUUUUAGAAUUUCAUCACCGAGGAAAUUCCUUUUGAGGAAAUUCCUCACUGAUGACUAACUUACAGCGGGAACAGUAAAGGAUCAGAAGUGCGAAGUUUCACAACAGCAGUUUUUCGGNNNNNNNNNNNNNNNNNNNNNNNNNNNNNNNNNNNNNNNNNNNNNNNNNNNNNNNNNNNNNNNNNNNNNNNNNNNNNNNNNNNNNNNNNNNNNNNNNNNNNNNNNNNNNNNNNNNNNNNNNNNNNNNNNNNNNNNNNNCUAACUGACGUGAAGAAUUUGGGGUUGAGGAAAUUCAGAGAAAGUCUUCAGCAAAUUCUUCAAGCAGUCGCAGUGAAAGUCAUCAACACAUAAUACGAGGAAAGUAAGGAGUUGAGGAAUUAGAACCCAUUUCUCAGUGAAGACAGUCGUUGAUGACCCAGUUCCAACUGCUAUGGCAGUCGUACAUCUAGUUUGGAGCGGCUUGGUAUUGAAACCAAAGGACACACAGUCCCGGUACACACAGUCCCGGGACACACGGUCCCUACCAUGUUCUCCUUGGGCUAAGAACACACAGUCCUCGCCCAACACUCAUGGUAAGUCUUCAGGGCAGACUUCCAAACCCUCACAAACUUGGUCACUCGGCGAUCCACAAUUGACUGCUGGAAAGCUCUAGACCAUGACGCCUAACCGUCUGGAGGAUGCACAGUCCUCAAAGGUAACAGGCUUCAGUCCCACACAGGAACAACUUCUUCAGUGAUGCUCAAUCACUAGGUUUGGUUUGUGGUUUCGGUGUAUGGUGUAUUUCCUCACUAAUGAAUUACUCUCGAAGACUCUGAGGAAUUGGGUUGCUCUUAUGACAAGUGUCAGUUUCUAACGGAGCAACCAACCAGCUAAUGGUUGUGGGGGGUGGCUAUUUAUAGCCUGGGAGCAUCCCGACAUGAUUUGACACUAAUGCCCUUAAAUAAUAUGACGGUUGGAGUGGAUAAGACCAAUGACUUGGCGUGGCUAUCGAAACGGUCGGAACCUUCAAGUGUGAGAGUCCUCAUGUCACUCGUAUUCCUCACUUGAGGCUUUUGUUAGGAUUAGGCUUGGGUUGAGCAUCAUGAGGAAAUUCAUUCCAAAGUGUAACUUCGACCCCCUUUAACAGUACGGUGUUCCUAUUACUCAAAUGUGAAGAAAAUAAAAUAGAAAGAGUAAAUCUUCAUGCUUCAAAUUCUUCAAAGUGAUUUUCUUCAGGACACACCGAAUUUCAGUAUCUUCAUGAGGAAUAUCAAUUUCAUCGCAGAUUCCUCGCAAUUCAUUUCUUCAGCUUCAGACCAAUUUCUUCAACCGAAGAUAUACAUUUUUAGGGGUCGAUAUUCUUCAAAUAUCUCAAACUCCUCAAUGACUUAUAGAUCAUGUGUACACUCAUAAACACAUUAGAUACUUAACCUAUAAGUCUUCAAACCACCAAAAUCACUAAGGGGCACUAGAUGCACUUACACUUGCACAGGACCACGUUGUCUAUUAUUGUUGAGAUGGAUAGUGCGAAGGUAGUGACGAUGCUCAAAGCAUCCAUGAUAUAUAGAUCGCAACACCAGUCACUUAUAGAAGAAAUCGGCAGCUUAGUCGUUCUAGAUGCUAGGAAGAUUUUAUAAACCGUUGGCAUAACAAUGUUAGUCAUGAGUUGGCUGCGUAUGAUCGCAACACCCCUCGUGUGGUAGUCUGGUUUAUUGGCGGACCAAAUUUUAUUGCAAACUCGGUUAUGGCUGAGGGCCUCCUUAUGAAACUAGUAGAAUGCACGUGCAUUGCUACGGGAUUCCAAAAUAUCUUGUUGAAGUUAUAUAAACAUAAUGUAUGUAAAUUUCACAUGUUGAGAAAAGGUAGCACAAGCAUAAUCGAAUAAUAAUUACAGUCCACUUCACUUACAACGUAAAUUGAUAAUAAAAAGGUAAUUUGACAAUAUAUACAUAUAUAGUGAUUAUUCAACUAAAAAUCGUUAAAUUUAAUAUAUACUUGAUGCCCUUAACAAAUUCUUGUACAAUAUCAAGAAUGUUGUCUUUACUUUCAUUUGCAUCAUAUUAGAGCAAGUAUAAUAAUAACUUCUUUCUCAACUCAUAUCCAUCAUGCACAAGCAAUAUAUGUAGUCUUGAAAUGUGUAAUAGAGAAUACACAUCGUGCAAAUCGGUCAAACCAAUUAUUUACCAUUCCACUAGAGCAUAAAAUAAAUAACAUAAUAGCCACACACAUCUGUGUAAUUUACUAAGUUAUUAUUAUCUUGAAAAUAGUAAUAAAAAAUGUUUGUAUUUAGAAUGUUAUGAUAAUGAAACAUAUAAAUUUACUCGUCUAUAUUCGCUGGAAUAACAAGUGGAAAUAAAUGUUGUCAUCUAGAUAUCUCACAAUUCCACCCAGAUUGCUUUAUUUCGAGUGCAUCGUUGAAUUCCCUCACAAAUCUUGUGUGCGCAACCUCGGCCAGGGCUUCUCCUUCUUCGACAAUGUGAUCACGGUUGCCGUUGGAGACGCCCUAACUGCACUAACCAAGAAUCUUAGGCGCCUAUAUGCUCUCUUUUGUAGCAAACUAGUGAUCCGGGACCUAGAGAGGCGGGUUUGCACCUAACCAGAUAAAGGAUUUGUCGGGUUUAGUUUUGCGAUAACAUAGACCUGAAAAUAAUCCCUUUGUUCUUGCAUGUCCAAGAUAUUUAUGAAGAAAUACUAUGAGUUUCAUAUGACAAGUCAUCUGAUCAAAGAACAAUGCCACAAAGAGUGUUAAUUCAGUAAAUAUAACUUACCAUGAUAGCAUAAUCCAAGCAUUCUUGCUCCUACUUCUUGUACCCUUAUGUAUAGAUUUGGUCAUAUCCUUAGCUUUUUAUGUGAUAAUAAGAGGGAGAGCAAAAACGGAUCAUUCUAGGUAACAAAAGCCUUUUUUUACAAAUUGUGACAUGGGUCAUGAAUGUUUAGAGAAAAUCUACAAGGCAAGAUGAAGCGGCCACUCCUUCCGACUAAUUCACCAUCAGUUAAAAUUACAGAGAUGAAAUACAUUUUCAAUCAAUGGGGUAAAUCAUACACUAUGUAACAACUCAUUAACUAAAUCAUUCAGUAGUUACAAUGGUACACGCAUGACUGAAAAUUUCAUGACAAGUAGAUUAUUCCGCGUGGAUUCUCACAAAAAAGGAAAAUAAAUUAUUGUAGAUCCUGCGCAACAAGCUCAUAAAUUUCAAACUUUUAGCUCAUUAUAAAAGUCCUUGAGCUUCCCGCUGGUUGUCAACUUCACCGGAAUCGAAUGGAGAUGAGGGACAAAAGGGGAAACUCAUCUGUCGAGUACUAAAAUCAAUGAGUCCCUAUUUACGAGCGCAUGGCCGCAAGCACAUGAAAAACACCUACAACAUGUGCAUCAAGACGACCUCCCCGGUAGCAGCCUCAAAGAGACACCUCGCAACAGCGUUGACGAUGUCCCACAACGCAAAUCCUACGAGGGUUGAGUGCCAUGAACUCAAGGAUUACGGUGGUGGAGUUUAAUGUAACAACGACCUCCCUCUUAAGACAUAAUGGAGUCGAGGAAGGACGACAUCAUGGAGGGCGGGGAGAGGGUGAGAAGAACACAAGGCGGCGGAGAAGGCGAUGUGGCGAAGGGAGUGAAGGACUGAAGAAACGAACGGGCGGUCUGCAUCAUCAUAUCACGCAAUAAAUCAAAUCACGAUAUGAUUUUCUAGGAAAAACUUGACUUCCAUGAAACGGGGCAGAUGGACGGAAAAGGCAAAGGUGGCAUCCAAUCAAAUCAGAUCAGAACUUUCCUUCCGUGAACCAGGCGAUAUGGGGAAAACUCGAAGGAGGGAUUGACGAUAAGAACGAAUGACGCACCAUGACCUAUCAUUGAAAUCACAAUUGCUCCCUAGGGUGGUUUUGAUAAUUGAUCACAACAUAUGCAUCAGUGGACUAAUAUGUUUAUCCAAGUAUAUUUCGGAAAAGUUCAAAAGAUGCUUUGGAUAAAGGCUUAUGUGGGUAUGCCCCUUGAUGCAAGAAAUAAAUAGGAUUGGCCCAAGCUUCAAUCUAGAAGACUCUUCAUUUUAUAUUUGUGAGAAAUCACUUUUGAGUCCAGAUGAAAGCCAAUACUAUUAAAAGGGGGUGAGCUAUUAAAAUGAACUGGCUGCUCAAGUGCUCAAAGUUAGCCACCAAAAUACUCGGUCAUUUUUUCCACGUAACCAUUGUGUCCAAUUCCACAUACUCAAAUUCGGUGCCACCAACUUUCCCAUUUCGGCCCCACCGAGUUUGACUUCAUACAAAACCCUAGCCAUUCCCACCAAAUCGGUGCAACCAAAACCAUAUCGGUGCUAUCGAGUUCAGGGUGACCAACUUUCUGUUGCCUCGGUACACCAAUUGGAAUUUCCGAGUUUGCAUAUCGGUGUCACCCAGUUGUGUCAUCUGACUGUUAGCCACCUUUUUGGUUCCACCGAGUUGUGUGUAUCGGUCCCACUGAGAUUCAAAAGUUGCUGCCUUUAGUGCAAGUCGGUACCACCGAGUUUAUGACUUCGGUGUCACCGAGUUUGCCACUUUAGGUGUAACGGUUGGAUUUUAUGUGCUGCCUAUAUAUACCCCUUCACCCACCUCUCAUUCAUGGGAGAGGUACUCAGAACACACACUUCAUUUCCAGAUCCAUUUUUCUUAGAGAGAGACACCUACUCAUGUGUUGAGACCAAGAUAUUCCAAUCCAAUCAUUUGAAACUUGAUCUCUAGCCUCCCCAAGCUCCUUUCCACCAAAUCAAUCUCUCCUACCCAUGCCUAUUCUAUGAGAGAGUGAUUUUGUGUUGAGGAGACUAUCUUUGGAAGCAAAAGAGCAAGGAGUUCAUCAUUCUACCAAAUAUAUUACCUUUUGGAGGGUGGUGCCUCCUAGAUUGGUUAAGUGUCACUUGGGAGCCUCCCACUUCGUGUUGUGGAGUUGAACCAAGAUGUUUGUAAGGGCAAGGAAAUCGCCUACUUCGUGAAGAUCUACCGUGAGUAAGGCUAGUACUUCAUGGGCGGAAGCCAUGGUGGAAUAGACAAGGCCGCUUUUCGUGGACCCCUUGUGGGUGGAGCCCUCCAUGGACUCUCGUAGUCGUUACCCUCCGUGGGUUGAAGUAUCCACUAACAUGGAUGUACGAUAGAGCCACCUAUCAGAACCACGCCAAAAAAUUUCGUGUCAACCUGAUGCGUUUGAUCUCCCUACCUUACACCUUACUUUACACUUACAUGUUUUACAUUCCGCCGCUACACUUUUAGAACUGCAUGUGUAGGGUGUGCUUGACUUGCCAUAACUGCCAAAACUGCCCCUCACCUAAAUUUGGGAAAAUACUAAACUCUUAUCUUGUCAAGUAGUCUAAUCACCCCCCCUCUAGACAUACUUUCGAUCCUAUAGGUGGUAUCAGAGCUUUGGUCUCCAUUGCAUUGGUUUCACAACCUAUGAGAGUAUGACAUCUAGUGAGGGAAAUUAUCACCGUAGAGGUCCAUACUUCGAUGGCACUAAUUUUGCUAGUUGGAAGCAUAAGAUGAAAUGCAUAUUCCUGGUUUUAAUCCUCAUGUUUGGGUUGUUAUUCGUGUUAGUGUGCAAGGUAAUGUCUUCGGAGAAGGGCAUGAACUGGAUCGUGAUGCGACAUCCAAUGAACUGAAGAUGUUGCAACUCAAUGCACAAGCCUGCGACAUCAUCUUCAACUGUCUAUGCCCCGAAGAAUUCAACAAAAUCAGCUGCCUUGAGAAUGCAAAAGAAAUUUGGGAUAUUUUGAUCGAUAUGCACGAAGGUACUCAUUCUGUCAGAGAAUAUAAGUUGGAUGUGCUUCAAAGUCAGCUUGACAAGUUCAAGAUGAAGGAUGGUGAAUGUGUCGCUAAAAUGUACUCUAGGCUAGCUCUCAUCACCAAUGAGAUUGUCGGCUUAGGAAGCGAAGAGAUGACCGACAAAUUCAUCAUCAAGAAGAUACUUAGAGCUCUUGAUGGAGAGUAUGACACUGUGUGCACAUUGAUCAAAAUGAUGCCAAACUACAAAGAUCUCAAGCCAAUUGAAGUCAUUGGUAGGAUUGUUGCUCAUGAGAUGUCACUCAAGGACAAAGAUGAGCUGCACAACAAGUCAAGCGGUGCUUACAAAGCUUCAUGUGAUGCUCCCGCUACUUCAAAGGACAAUAUCGUCACUGAUGAACAGAUAAGCCUCAUGGUCAGAAAAUUCAACAAGUUCUACAAGAGUAGAGGCAAAGAGAGAAGCUCAAGCUCAAGACAUGAUGAGAAGCAUUCGUCCAGUCGUGACCGAAACUGCUACAACUAUGGGAAGCCCAGACACUACUCCAAUGAGUGCUCUGCUCCCUCCAAACAAAGAGAAGAUUCACCUCGAAGACGAAGCUCAAGGGAUGAGUCACCUCGCGGAGAGAGAAGGAGUAGAGAAGAUCGUUAUGAACGAAGACACUCACGGAGAGGCAAAGAAUCGGAGAAGAAGGACAAAUACACCAAGAUCAGCUCAAGAAGAAGACAUCAAGCUCAUGUUGGUGAAUGGGUUUCUCGCUCCGAGUCCGACAACCAAUCCGAGAGAAGAUACCACUCCAACUCCGACUAUAGUCAAGAUGAAGGUGUUGCCGACAUUGCACUUGUUUCCUCCAACUUCUAUGAACUAUUUGAAUCACCAAAUGAGGGGUCCGAAAACUGCUUCAUGGAUAAAGGCCCCAAGGUAUCACACUCUAAGUAUCUUAAUUUUAAUGGUGAGGAGGAUGACUUGUUAGGAGAAGAUGACUUGCUCUUUGAUAAAACUAGUGAUUACAAUGAAAAUGAACUUGCUAAUUAUCAUGCUAGUCAAGAGAAAUCGAGUGAUGAUGGUAAGAAAGAGAUUGAAUGACUAACUCAAGAAUUAAAUACUCUUAAAUUAGCUCAUGAAACUACUCUAGAAGAUCAUAAAGAGCUUGCAAGAACUCAUGAGAAGCUAUGCUUCGAGAAGCUCAAUUUGGAGCAAGAGCACGAGUUCCUAAAAGCAAUCAAUGAUGAUCUUCGAAAGAAGAGUUCUUCUUAUCUAGCCAAACGAUUACUCUUGUCUACUUUUGUUCCACAAGUUAAACCUAAGAGCACUAGUAACAAAGCUAAGAAUGUUUCUUCAUCUAGUAACAACAAUGCUAAAGCUAAAUCUAAUGUUGUUGAUGCUAGUAGCUCUCUUGAUUCCACUAAUGAUUCUCUUAGCCAAAGUUGCACUUGAGCAAGAAAACGAUUUAUUGAAAGGGAUUAUAGAGAGAGAUGUCUUCAAGAGUCUUGACGGAAGUAACAAUUUGAGGAAAUUAUGCGUAAGCAAGGAGGACAUCGUAAGAAACAAGGUGUUGGCUACUUCAACGUCAACGGAGAUGAUUGGGAAGAAGGACCAUAUCCCAUUCCUAAGUUUGUUCCUCGAGAGGAGAAGUAUGAUCCUACUCCUCCCAAAGGAACAAGCUCACAAGAUGACCUUCUACCACAAGACCACAAGGGUAAGGGAAAGCUUCAAGAUGACAUUGACUUAUUUGAAGAAGAACCCCAAGUCAAGGUCAAGUGGAUUCCCAAGAACACUACUAGCACUACCUCAUCUAGUGCUAUCACAACUCCAAGGAUUCCCAUCAAGUUGAUGUGGAUCCCCAAGAGUAAGAACUAGAAAGUUCUUGAGGGGUGACUCCGCCAAUGAAAUUCACUCUUAUUCAUUUUGGCAAGAACUAUAUGCAAUCAACCUCAACCAUAUGCAUUAGCUCAAGGAGUCACACAUUCCCUCAAAGGUAAGCAAGGAACAAGGUAAUUAAUGUAUCUUUUGAACAUAAUCUCAUAUGUACUUCACUCCAUGUCCAUAGGUGUUCUUGCAUAUGUUCCUUUUGCUUUGGUACUAACCCGUGUAGGUGAGAAGAGUAAGAAACAACAAGGAUUGCUCCCAACUCAAGAUGAUCUUCAUCAACAUUGAGCAUCUACCACUACUUCACAUACUUGAAUUAUUCUAUGACAAAACCCAAGGUAGUUUAUCCCUCUUAGGGAGCAUGUCAUAUCAAGGGGGAGAUCUACUCUAAAUCUUGAGUAUAAGCAUCUCCUAAGGAUAUGAACACAUUAAUGCUUUAUGUAAAAGUGGUAACCCCACUUGUGCUUAAUGAUGAGUAUGACCUAUGAUCAAGUAUUCUUACUUGGCUCCUAAGUCAAUAUACUCAUAUAUAGAUGACUUUUUCAUCGCCCAAGUGCUUGAUAGAUGCUAGGAUGUUUGUGCGUAUUCACCAUAUUUUAUCUAUCAUCUUAUUGUGUGAGCAUGUUGGUCUGCAUGUGUUUGAUCAUUCGAGGACAUCCAAUUGUUGUCAUUUGGCUCAUGAUUUAUCUUUUGCCAAUUGGAUGGACAAGAAUGCAUAGGACCCUCCUCCAGCUAUCUGUGCUAUCUCAUCUCUAGUUCUAUUCAUGCUUCAUCACAAAAUUUGAACAAGCACUUGUCGAUCCCUCUAUGUGAAGGAGCACUCGGAGUUUCGUAUCAUGAAAAGGCUGCCUUCCAAAAUCUCUUUGUAAAUCUCGAUGAAACCAACCCCACAAAUACGGUUCCACCGAAUUUCCAAAGUUAAUCUGGUUUUUUGAAUCUUGGUACCACCGAAAUCACCAACUCGGUUACACCGAGUUUCCAUGUCAGCUGACAGCAGAGGAACUUGGUGACACCGAUUUCGUAAUCUUGGUGACAUCGAUAGCGAAGGGGUAUAUAUUCUGGCGGACAGGAUUUUGAAAUCAUUUCCUCAAAAAACCCUUCGUCGCAAACCCUAAGCUUCCCCGAAGGACCCCUACUCGUCGCCUUUGCCUCCUAGAGCACCUCUGACGUUGGGAUUUGCCGUUGUCGACGGAAUAUUUGCCGUCGUCGCCGCCGUAGUCAGACCGCCACAGAGCUAGGGUACGGUUCCGAUCUCCUCUUGCGCUCCCUUAAUCCAACUCAUGUGCAUUAGGAAGUUUUCUCUGCAAGCCACCAUGUGCAAACCCCUCCUUCCACCAGAGAAUCUCGUAGCAUAGAGAACGAUGGAAUUUAGGAUCUGAUCUACCGCAGCAUGCAACUCGGUGAGACCGAGUUGGUAAAAUCGGUUCCACUAAUUUUAGUUCUAGGGUUCCUGAGAAGCAACUCGGUGAGAUCGAGCAGUUCUUUUUGGUGACGCCGAAAAAGACUGCCAAGUCUGUAUCAUUCGAGUAGUUUUUCUUGGUGACUCCAAAAUGAUCAACCCAAUGUUACCGAUUUACAUUCUGUAGAAGAUCAUACCCUAAGUUUCUGAAUUCAUUUUGAAAAAUCUUUCUAUGUUUUGUGAUGCUCAACCCUUCUGCUCUUCUAUAUCUAUUUCACAGGAUUGAUGUUUGUUGGUUUGCUGCUGGAGAAGAUGAGAUCCUAGCUCCUCCUAAGAAGAAGAAUCUCAUGGAUGAUGCCAUGCCCGAGAAAUCUGCUCCUAAGCCUCCUUAUAAGGCUAAAAGGUUGUAGCUCAUAGGAAGACUACAAAGGAUAUUCCUGCAGCUGCCAAGGGGAAAGGCCCUGCUUCCAGUGCCUUUGCUGCAGAGGAAGAAUAUGAGAAUGCACCGAUUCUCAUAAAGCUCCAACCAAAUCUGGCAGUGCACAAUGCUUCUCAUCUAGUAGCCGAAUAUAUGAAGAAGAGGAAAGAUUCAGGUUUGAGGAAAUGGAGAGUUGCACAUCCAUAUGCCAUAAGGAGAAGAACUAUUGUUGAUCCAAGGUUUCACACCGAGGAACAACAAGACUUUUAUGAGACUGUCUUAUAUGACAAAAGUCCAAUUGUUAGUGACAUGAGAUAUGUUGACUGAGCAUACAUCAAAGCCAAUGAAAAUUUCUUUCCACAUGUGCAAGACAAUUUCAAUUCGGUAGACAUUGAAGAUUUUGUUGGAAAAGAGAUGACCCCAUGGAAUGAUGAAUUAAUUAUGCAAUUUUACUCAACUGUUCAUUUCUCUGGAGAUGACUCUAAUGUCUCGAUGACAAAUGGUCACAAGUAUGAGUCAAAGAUUGAUGAGUGGGCCACUAUCAUUGGUGCCCCUAAGCAGAAAGAGAGUGAUGUUGAUGUGUAUUCUGAAUCGAAGAUGAGCCACUGUUAGAGUAUAUAUCUCCAUAUGUGGUUUUGGUAAUUGAUGACAAUUCCUAUGGACNNNNNNNNNNNNNNNNNNNNNNNNNNNNNNNNNNNNNNNNNNNNNNNNNNNNNNNNNNNNNNNNNNNNNNNNNNNNNNNNNNNNNNNNNNNNNNNNNNNNNNNNNNNNNNNNNNNNNNNNNNNNNNNNNNNNNNNNNNNNNNNNNNNNNNNNNNNNNNNNNNNNNNNNNNNNNGGUAUUCAAGGUAUUAUCCAAAGAAUGGUCAUAGAGACACUAGCUAGGUUGAUCAAGAUCUCAGACAAAGAGUAAAUGAAGAUGAUCAACAUACAAAGCGUAUAAGAUGUACCGAGAGGGAUCAAGUGAUCCCAUGGUAUGGUAAGCAUUGUCCAUUACGUGUUUGUGUACUAACCCAUGGUCUUUGUGAGAGUCCUAUGUGGGGGGUAGGUUUGCUUCCAUGGGCUUGCGUCAAAAGGAAGAUCUCAUACAACCNNNNNNNNNNNNNNNNNNNNNNNNNNNNNNNNNNNNNNNNNNNNNNNNNNNNNNNNNNNNNNNNNNNNNNNNNNNNNNNNNNNNNNNNNNNNNNNNNNNNNNNNNNNNNNNNNNNNNNNNNNNNNNNNNNNNNNNNNNNNNNNNNNNNNNNNNNNNNGCACGAAUAUAUCAUUGAAACUAUUGUUAAUGAUCGUGUGUUGAUAAGGACAAGCUCAUGUGCUAACAAGGAGAAGAUCAAGAUAAGCAUUCCUGAGCACUGCAUGCUUGAUUCUUGUGGAUGUUCACAUGGUGUACAAAUGAAGAUGAAUACAUAAGCUAGGCUUUCCACAUUGUGUAUGGGAGAGCUGCUUGAAGACUCCGUCAUGUCUUGCUUUCAACUUGAGCCAAGAAGGAACAACAACAUCAAGCNNNNNNNNNNNNNNNNNNNNNNNNNNNNNNNNNNNNNNNNNNNNNNNNNNNNNNNNNNNNNNNNNNNNNNNNNNNNNNNNNNNNNNNNNNNNNNNNNNNNUCGGAGGAGGUUAGUACUUAGGCGAUUCAGGAUCGCAGCUAAGUCUCCGAGUGCGACGUAUAGUGCACACUCGGAGGGAGUUAUUACUUAGGUGAUUCGUGAUCACAGCUAAGUCCCCGAAUGCGACGUAUAGUGCACACUCGGAGGAGGUUAGUACUUAGGCGAUUCAGGAUCGCAGCUAAGUCCCCGAGUGUGACGUAUAGUGCACACUCGGAGGAGUGCGUACUUAGAUGAUUCUUGAUCACAGCUAAGUCUCCGAGUGCGACGUAUAGUGCACACUCGGAGGAGGUUAGUACUUAGGCGAUGCAAGAUCGCAGCUAAGUCCCCGAGUGUGACGUAUAGUGCACACUCGGAGGAAGUGCGUACUUAGGUGAUUCUUGAUCACAGCUAAGUCCCCGAGUGCGACGUAUAGUGCACACAUGCGCGCGGCUCGUCUGUCUCCCUCUGAAUAUUGUAGAAUCUGUAUGCUCCGCUGUUCAGCACCUUGGAAAUGAUGAAAGGCCCCUCCCAGGCCGGAGCCAACUUGUGGGGUCUUUGCUGAUCCACUCGGAGCACUAAAUCGUCUGCUUGGAACGUGCGGCUCCUGACAUGACGUGCAUGAAAGCGUCGCAGAUCUUGUUGGUAAAUUGUUGAACGAGUGAGUGCCAUCUCGCGUUCCUCCUCCAGAAGAUCGACUCCAUCUUGCCUUGCUUGUUCCGCUUCGGCUUCGGAGAAGAGUUCGACUCGCGGGGCAUUGUGAAGCAGGUCACUCGGAAGGACCGCUUCUGCUCCAUAGACGAGGAAGAACGGCGAUCGCCCCGUUGAUCGGUUUGGAGUGGUGCGGAGGCCCCAAAGUACUGAAGGUAACUCGGUGACCCAUGCACCAGCAGCAUGUCCUACCUCUCGCAAGAGUCGAGGCUUCAAACCUUGAAGGAUAAGUCCAUUCGCGCGCUCAGCUUGUCCAUUGGAUUGCGGAUGUGCUACGGAAGCAAAAUCCACUCGGAUACCCUGACUCGCGCAGAAACCUUUGAAUCUAUCCGAGUCGAAGUUUGUCCCAUUGUCCGUGAUUAUGCUGUGAGGCACUCCGAAUCUGGAGAUGAUGUCCCUGACAAACUUAACGGCUGUGAAGGCGUCGAGCUUCUUGAUGGGCUUGGCUUCUAUCCAUUUUGUAAACUUGUCGACUGCCACCAACAGAUGUGUGUAGCCUCCUUGGCCUGUCUUGAAUGGCCCGACUGUGUCUAAUCCCCAAACUGCAAAUGGCCACACAAGUGGGAUUGGCUUUAGUGCAGAUGUUGGCUUGUGGGACUUGUUGGAGUAGAACUGACAGCCUUCACAUCGGUCGACCAUAGCUUUGGCCAUCUCGUUAGCCUGCAGCCAGAAGAAUCCAGCUCUGAAUGCCUUGGCGACGAUUGCUCUCGAAGAAGCGUGAUGGCCGCAGGUUCCCGAGUGGAUAUCCUCUAGGAUCAACUGUCCUUCCUCUGGGGAAAUGCAAUGUUGGAGGACGCCUGAAACACUCUCCUUGUACAAUUGACCGUCAAUGACAGUGAAUGCCUUCGACCUGCGAACUAUUUGUCGGGCUUGGACUUCAUCUUCUGGAAGUUCUUGUCUCAGGAUAUAUGCCAUGAUCGGCACAGUCCAAUCGGGAAUGACUACCAGAAUCUCCGUGACCAGAUCAACCACCGCAGGUACAUCGACUUCAGUCGGAUCUGUUGCGCUCUUGGGUUGUAUCGGUUCUUCAGUGAAGGGAUCUUCUUUAACUGAAGGAAGAUGGAGGUGCUCGAGGCAAACGUCACUCGGGACUGGUCUCCGAGUGGAUCCGAGUUUCGCCAACGCAUCAGCUGCUUGGUUCUUCAGUCUCGGAACAUGAUGGAGCUCUAGACCUUCAAACUUCUUCUCCAGCUUCCUUACUGCAUUGCAGUACACUGUCAUGGUGGGGUUCCUUACGUCCCACUCUUUCAUCACUUGAUUGACCACCAAAUCCGAAUCGCCGUAGACCAUCAAGCGACGGACGCCGAGUGAGAUGGCCAUGCUCAAUCCGUAGAGGAGAGCUUCAUACUCCGCCUCGUUGUUGGAGGAAUCAAAGUGUAUCUGGAGCACUUACUUGAGCUUGUCGCCUUUGGGUGAUAUGAUCACAACACCAGCGCCGGAUCCAUUCAACAUCUUAGACCCAUCGAAGAACAUUGUCCAAUGAGCCGAGUAGAUGUGAGUCGGUUGCUGUUGUUCUACCCAUUCUGCUAUAAAGUCAGCCAGGGCUUGAGACUUAAUAGCUUUCUUGGCCUCGAACUUGAUGUCACAAUACAGCAUCUCCAUUGCCCACUUCGCCACUCGGCCUGACGCGUCUCGAUUGUGGAGAAUUUCCGACAAAGGAGCAUCAGAAACGACAGAUACCGAGUGGUCUUGGAAAUAAUGGGCCACCUUCUUCGCAGUCAUAUAGAUCCCAUAGAUAAGCUUCUGAUAAUGGGGAUACCUCUGCUUGGAGGGGGUCAGGACUUCGGAGACGUAGUACACUGGCCGCUGAACUUUGUAUGCUUUGCCUUCUUCUUCUCGCUCGACUGUAAGAACAGUACUGACGACUUGAUUUGUAGCCGCGAUAUAUAGAAGAAGGGGCUCUUUACUGAGCGGAGCAGUAAGAACCGGCUGGGUGGAAAGUAGGACUUUGAGGUCGUCGAAUGCGACUUGGGCUUCGUCUGUCNNNNNNNNNNNNNNNNNNNNNNNNNNNNNNNNNNNNNNNNNNNNNNNNNNNNNNNNNNNNNNNNNNNNNNNNNNNNNNNNNNNNNNNNNNNNNNNNNNNNCCAGUUCCUAACUGACUCGGACAACUGGAGAGGGGGGUAGCUACUCUUUGUUUUCUUCUGGAAUCCUAAGCCCCCGCAGAGCUGGAGGAGAUGGGUUUUAUCGUCCGACUGGCUAAGCGUUUUGACAGUCUGGGACCUAGCGGAGAAGAUGUACUUAAAUAGACCCCAAUGGGGGGGACAUCCAAUAAAGCACUCGCAAAGGGUGACGAAUGCGGCAAGAUNNNNNNNNNNNNNNNNNNNNNNNNNNNNNNNNNNNNNNNNNNNNNNNNNNNNNNNNNNNNNNNNNNNNNNNNNNNNNNNNNNNNNNNNNNNNNNNNNNNNNNNNNNNNNNNNNNNNNNNNNNNNNNNNNNNNNNNNNNNNNNNNNNNNNNNNNNNNNNNNNNNNNNNNNNNNNAGGCAAGGAGAAGCCCCUGAACACGUGGCUGAGCAGCAAGACGUGCUCCCCCUCCUGCGGCACCGGCUCCAUCUCGCCCUCCGCCGACAGCCUCCACGACUUGUUGGCGAUCAUGCCGUGCUCCACUAGCUCCAGNNNNNNNNNNGAGGCAAGGAGAAGCCCCUGAACACGUGGCCGAGCAGCAGGACGCGCUCCCCCUCCUACGGCGCCGGCUCUGUCUCGCCCUCCGCCGGCAGCCUCCACGACUUGUUGGCGAUCAUGCCGUGCUCCACUAGCUCCAGCAAAUCAUCCGUCGUCACCAUGGAGGGGAGGAAAUCCCCCUGGAUCCACCCCGCCGGCAGUGCCCGCUGUCGCCGCUGAGCAGGGGCCGCCCCCUUCUUCUUCUUCUGCGACUCGAGUUUGCUAGUCUGCCCCUUCAUCAUGGUGAAUGCAACAGAUCCGGCGAGGAGGAGAGGAAGGAGGAGGCUUGGAGCGUGCAAGGAGCUACGGGAGGAGCAAGGUGAAUGCGAGUAACAAGGGCAGCGCAAUAAGAAACCCCCGCCGGAGAGACUUAAAUAAGCUUCCGACUGAGUCACUAACAGGUGGCCCCGAAAUCUUAUCCCCCGACCAGCUGCUGCGAUGUUAGUGGAGAAGAUAACGGCGUGGCAAUCGAGGCGGCAAAAACUACUCGAUGGCGAUGUCAUCAUCCCCGCUGAGCGCACGGCAACCGAAAUUUGAGGAUCCCGGAAAAUCCGCCGCUGUCAGUUGGACCGGUCACAUCGAAAGAUUCCNNNNNNNNNNNNNNNNNNNNNNNNNNNNNNNNNNNNNNNNNNNNNNNNNNNNNNNNNNNNNNNNNNNNNNNNNNNNNNNNNNNNNNNNNNNNNNNNNNNNCCCAGAGUCGCCUAAGUAAAAAACUCUCUCUCUUCGAGUGUGCACUAAAAGACGCACUCGGAGGCUUAGCUGUGACCCAGAAUCGCCUAAGUACAAACCCUCUCUCCGAGUGUGCACUAAAAGUCGCACUUGGGGACUUAGCUGCGAUCCAGAGUCGCCUAAGUAAAAAUCUCGCUCCGAGUGCGCACUAAAAUCCGCACUCGGGGACUUAGCUGCGACCCAGAAUCGCCUAAGUAAAAACUCUCUCCGAGUGCGCACCAAAAGNNNNNNNNNNNNNNNNNNNNNNNNNNNNNNNNNNNNNNNNNNNNNNNNNNNNNNNNUGCUCCGAGUGCGCACCAAAAUCCGCACUCGGGGACUUAGUUGUGACCCAGAAUCGCCUAAGUAAAAACUCGCUCCGAGUGCGCACCAAAAGCCGCACUCGGGGACUUAGCUGCGACCCAGAAUCGCCUAAGUACAAACCCGCUCCGAGUAUGCACCAAAAGCCGCACUCGGGGACUUAGCUGCGAUCCAGAAUCGCCUAAGUACAAACUUGCUCCGAGUGCGCACCAAAAGCCGCACUCGGGAACUUAGCUGCGACCCAGAAUCGCCUAAGUAAAAACUCUCUCUGAGUGCGCACCAAAAGCCGCACUCGGGGACUUAGCUGCGACCCAGAAUCGCCUAAGUACAAACCCACUCUGAGUGCGCACUUAAAGUCGCACUCGGGGACUUAGCUGCGACUCAGAAUCGCCUAAGCACAAACUCGCUCCGAGUGCGCACUAAAAGUUGCACUCGGGGACUUAGCUGCGACUCAGAAUUGCCUAAGUACAAACUCGCUCCGAGUGCGCACGAAAAGCCGCACUCGGUGACUUAGCUGCGAUCCAGAAUCGCCUAAGUACAAACUCGCUCCGAGUGCGCACGAAAAGCCGCACUCGGUGACUUAGCUGCGAUCCAGAAUCGCCUAAGUAAAAAAGCUUCCUUCGAGUGUAUCCCCGAGAUCCACUCGGAGGCUUAGUAGACCCUCAUUGAGGCUCAUGUGGAUGUGAAGACAACUGACAACUACAUGAGUAUCAACUCACUCCGAGUGUGUACAAGAUGCCGCACUCGGGGACUUAGCUGCGAUCCAGAAUCGCCUAAGUAAAAAAGCUUCCUUCGAGUGUAUCCUCGAGAUACUCGGAGGCUUAGCAGACCCUCAUUGAGGCUCAUGUGGAUGUGAAGACAACUGACAACUACAUGAGUAUCAACUCACUCCGAGUGCACAUGAGAUGGCACACUCGGGGACUUAGCUGCGAUCCAGAAUCGCCUAAGUAAAAAAGCUUCCUUCGAGUGUAUCCUCGAGAUACUCGGAGGCUUAGCAGACCCUCAUUGAGGCUCAUGUGGAUGUGAAGACAACUUACAAUUACAUGCUCCGCAUGUUUGCCAUUGGCUUCACCAAGAAACGCCAAACAAAAACCACGAGCCAAAAUCGUGUCAAAAAAAACUUGGCGAAAGAAGAGCAAAAUAUUCGAUUCGAAUUCAAAGUUGGAUCUACGAUCGGUCGGCUCGGUGUGGAUCAAGCUUAUCCACACCGAACCACGAAUGUAAUGGCCAACAGCAGUGGGCAAAGUUUGAUACAGAUAACACUCGGCAUUCCGAGGCAAAAGUGCGUUCACCAUAAAGUUUUUCAAGCGUCACCAGGACUGCAGGCUCCACAAAGGUGUCAAGGUCGAUCCCGUCUGCGAUGCGAGUGGUUGUGUCGAUGAAGGUCUCCAUGAAAUCCUCGAAUCGAAGCUUCUUGGUGUUGGCGACCUGCAACGCCUUCAGCUUUUCUUCACGAGCUUCUUUGCAGUGCACUCGGACCAAAGAUAGCGCCACGUCCGCACCACAACGAGCGGCAGACUUCUUCCAUGCCUGCACUCGGUUCGGGACGUCCUCUAGCCGAGUCAUCAACCCUUCUAUUUCUUGCCGGGAAUCGUCUUCGGGCCACAGCUCCUUGUCGAUCCGGCCGAUGACUUCUCUCAGGCGGCCGAUGAAAGGUCCCACUCUGCCAAGGCGAAUACGCGCUCGGAGCAUGUCCCGGUUGGCUUCGUCGCCGAGUGGAACGUUCGGAACAACCGACCGUUCAAUAUCGGCUGCUUCAGCCUCAGCGUCCAGACAAAAAUCUGCCAAGAAAAGACAAGCAGAAAGUAAGCGCAGAAUAAACUCCAAAGACAAGAAGCACUCGGCAAAAAACUUACCACCAAGCAGUGCAAUCAUCUUCCUUGCCCAGUCGCUGACAUACUUCUCCUGCGCCAUGCACCGAUUGUUGAUCAUCUGACCCAUCAGUUCAGUUCUUUGCUUGCCCAUUUUCUCAAUUUCGGCCACCAAUGCCUUGUUUGUCUCCCGGGACUCCUCCAAAGACUUCUCUCGGUCAGCAAGAGCCCCCUUCACACCAGCCAAGUCAUUCAUAGCCGCCUCCAAUUCCGCAGCAAGCUGAAUCUUUUCAGCCUUCAGAGCAUUGUACGCGGAUCCCAUUUCGCAAGUCUUCUGCCAAAUCAGCGCAAAGGGAAGAUCAGACACAUUCAACAAGGAAAACAAACAAAGCUCAAAGUUCUUCAGACCCCUGCCGAUGCAAGCAAUUGACAGCGGUCUCGGGGACUACACCCAGUGGGUUCACUAAGAGUGACCCNNNNNNNNNNAGCAUGAAGCUCGAACAGGCCGGCCCUAUUGAGCUACAUGACAAACAGACAAGCCUAUGAGACUACUAUUACCCGACCUGAGUAACACUACUCUCGGGGAGUACACCCAGUGGGUGCACUCGGAGUGCCCCCACUGGUACCAUUCGGGCAGAUCAGCUCUGAUCUGAUCAGGUCACGGGAAAUGCAUAUAAAGACAACUGCCGGUGCAAGCACUCGACAGAAGUCUCGGGGACUACACCCACUGGGUUCACUCGGAGUGAACCCACUGCAAACUAAUCCUACCGUAUCGGAGUAUGGCACUUAAAUCCCCAGUGGGUAACAAGAGGAAAGUAAACACUUACUAGCGCACUUACUCGGAUAUCGUCCCGGAGUUCCAAGCUUCUCUUGUACAAAGACGUGAUGGAGUCAUACGCUCCCUUGGCGUCACCCACCAUCAUAUCCACCUGCACCAUGGCCUCCUUGGCGGUCGCUCCCUUGGCGUCACCCACCAUCAGCUCCACCUGCACCAUGGCCUCCUUGGCGGCCCCCACUUGGUCUUCUGGGAGAUGUCGGGCGUCGUACUGGACGGUCGAUGGACCCGGCACGACAGAAGACUCCUUGGGCAUCCCAAGUUCCGCUCCAUUCGGUUCCGCCGCGAGGGGCACCGUCUCAGUCGGCGGCAUCGUCUCGGUCGGCGGCACGUCCAUGGUGGGAGCAGCAACAGAUGGGACAACCUCAAGGACAGGCGCCAAAGCUGGCCCUGACCCCCUUUGGUCGUCGUCCUCCAGGUGAAUCACCUCCGAAGGAAGCCCGACUGAACAACAUGAAAUUACAGAAAAAGGGCAAGAUUAAAGAUAGCACUCGCGAAACAAUAAUACAAACUCUCGGAGUCGUGACACCGUACCUUGCUGGGAAGUGGCAGCGUUAUCCGUGUCCAUGGGAUCAUCACCUUGGCGCGGCAGAGAGGUGGCGGAGGUAGCAGCCCUGUCGAGUAAAAUCCAUUCGACGGAUAAGCAUGAGUUCAACUAGAUACUGAAGCAAGAUGGGAGAACAAGACACUUACGCUGAGGCGACUGGAACAACGAUCCUCAUCCGAGGCAAAGCUUUCCGAGGCUUGGGCCCGCUAUGUUUUGCCACCUUGGAUGGCUGAUCCGUGGGCUCGGCAGCAGCGUCCCUAGUCCUCUUCACGCUCUGAGCACUUGGAGCCACGGGAGAGGCUGGUGGGGCACUCGGGGCCGCUGGAGGAGCCGGCGGAGCCGCAGGUUCGUGACGGCGCUUAGUUGGAGGCUCUGAUGGUGGAGGUGGCGAGCUCUGCUCCCCAACCUCCCCCUCAUCCUCUUCAGUCUCCUCCUCCGUCUCCCCACUGUCGGAGACGUACUCGGCGCUAUCCAUGCUGCCCUCCUGGCUGCCCUCCUCUUCCUCAGCUGGAUUCCCAUUCGAGACGGGAGAAUACCAGUUGGUCCACUCCUGCACAAAACACAGUUGGCAACGUCAGACGUCAGGCGACGGUACAAGAAAAGCGAUAAAUCUAAGAAGAUUGAAAGCACUCGACAAGAGGUGCUCACCUCAUUCGGAGGAGGAUUAUCGGCGCGGAAGGGCUUCACCCGUCGGGCUCCUCUGGGGUUGUCGCACGCGCCUGUAAUGCCGCGGACCCACGCUGUCACAACCUCCCCGAUCAUGAUUACUGGAUGAGUCCGAGUGGAAUCCUCAGGCCCCGUGUAGUGCCACAUGGCGUGGUGUCGGGCUUGCAGCGGCUGUAUGCGCCGACCCAGAAAAGUCUCCAGCAAAUCCGUGCCGGUGACUCCCUUGCGGACGACAACUAUCAGCACGUCGACCAGAGGUUGGAUCUGGAUCUUUUCCACCUUUGAGAGCGCAAGCUGCCUGGGANNNNNNNNNNNNNNNNNNNNNNNNNNNNNNNNNNNNNNNNNNNNNNNNNNNNNNNNCGUUUUCUUCUGGAAGCCUAAGCCCCCGCAGAGCUAGAGGAGAUGGGUUUUAUCAUCCGACUGGCUAAGCUUUUUGACAGUCUAGGACCUAGCGGAGAAGAUGUACUUAAAGAGCCCCCAAUGAGGGGACAUCCAAUAAAGCACUCGCAAAGGGUGACGAAUGCGGCAAGAUGGGCUAUCGCGUUUGGAGGAAAAUCAUGGAGCUGCGCCCCGAAGUGAUUCAUAAUACCUCUAAAGAAGGGGUGGGNNNNNNNNNNCAGUCGACCUGGUUCUAUUGCCAGGACAUCGCUUGUCCGAAUGCCGCGACUGGGUUGCCACCCUUUAGCCUAGACCGUCUGGCCCCUCCCAGGCAGCUUGCGCUCUCAAAGGUGGAAAAGAUCCAGAUCCAACCACUCGUCGACGUGCUGAUAGCUGUCGUCCGCAAGGGAGUCACCGACACGGAUUUGCUGGAGACUUUUCUGGGUCGGCGCAUACAGCCGCUGCANNNNNNNNNNNNNNNNNNNNNNNNNNNNNNNNNNNNNNNNNNNNNNNNNNNNNNNNNNNNNNNNNNNNNNNNNNNNNNNNNNNNNNNNNNNNNNNNNNNNAAAAAAGUGGUUCACGUGAAACUACACGUCGUUCUAGUCCCUUUACACACAUGGAACAUCUCCAACGAAGCUACGGUUAAUAAACUACGACCUAAACCAUUUAAACACGACACAACACGCAAAACGAGGUAAAUAGCAAGGUUAAUAGUUUUAAUCAUGCAUGAGAGUUGAAAAAUAUUAAUCUACGCAAAAUUCUAGUCAAGUUACAUAUUUAAAUCACUUCGAUCCGGUGGACGGUUAAGAAUCUACGAGCGUUUUAAAAACAAUGCAUUUUCUGAAAUUCGAAUAAACGCUGCACGGAAAAAAACACCAACGGGCCCUAACUAGCUAACGGGUUAUAAUUUAUUUUAUAUGAAUUUACAAUGUUUUAAUAAUAUACUAGAAUUGAAUUUUAUUUAUUAAUUCGAAAUAUACAAAACAGUAAAUGCUAAGUGCUCCCACAGUUGUACCCACUCAGCACACACACGAGCUGACGGGUGGGUCCUACUGACUAGGUCAACUCCAAGUCAGCAAAGGCUGACUCGUGGGCAGCUGCAGAGUAAGUAGGUUGUCACUUAGUUAAAUUAACUAAAACAUUUUAUUAGGGUUAAUUAAAUCGUGCGUGCUCGGCUAUCAGUGGACAUUAGAGGGGAGUGUCCGUGUCAAAACCGGCUCAUCUCGAGUAGGGGGUCCGCACUGUGGAUCUAGGGUCGACGGGUANNNNNNNNNNNNNNNNNNNNNNNNNNNNNNNNNNNNNNNNNNNNNNNNNNNNNNNNNNNNNNNNNNNNNNNNNNNNNNNNNNNNNNNNNNNNNNNNNNNNUACUGUAAUCCCAUAUUCCACUCGACACUAAGCUCCCAAGAGCACUGAACGUAGGGCUUUUACCUCCACCGUAGAGGGGCGUGAACUCAUACAACCUCGCCGUAGCUAAGGCUCUGCCCAUCCUUUCGUACCCUAGACAUCUACUGUCAGACUUAUACCCACGACAUUUGGUUUGUGGUUUCGGUGUAUGGUGUAUUUCCUCACUAAUGAAUUANNNNNNNNNNNNNNNNNNNNNNNNNNNNNNNNNNNNNNNNNNNNNNNNNNNNNNNNNNNNNNNNNNNNNNNNNNNNNNNNNNNNNNNNNNNNNNNNNNNNNNNNNNNNNNNNNNNNNNNNNNNNNNNNNNNNNNNNNNNNNNNNNNNNNNNNNNNNNNNNNNNNNNNNNNNNNNNNNNNNNNNNNNNNNNNNNNNNNNNNCGUUGGAGUGGAUAAGACCAAUGACUUGGCGUGGCUAUCGAAAUGGUCGGAACCCUCAACUGUGAGAGUCCUCAUGUCACUCGUAUUCCUCACUUGAGGCUUUUGGUAGGAUUAGGCUUGGGUUGAGCAUCAUGAGGCAAUUCAUUCCAAAGUGUAACUUCGACCCCCUUUAAUAGUACGGUGUUCCUAUUACUCAAAUGUGAAGAAAAUUAAACAGAAAGAGUAAAUCUUCAUGCUUGAAAUUCUUCAAAGUGAUUUUCUUCAGGACACACCGAAUUUCAGUACCUUCAUGAGGAAUAUCAAUUUCGUCGCAGAUUCCUCGCGAUUCAUUUCUUCAGCUUCAGACCAAUUUCUUCAACCGAAGAUAUACAUNNNNNNNNNNNNNNNNNNNNNNNNNNNNNNNNNNNNNNNNNNNNNNNNNNNNNNNNNNNNNNNNNNNNNNNNNNNNNNNNNNNNNNNNNNNNNNNNNNNNUCGGGUUAAUUACUCCCUAUGUGCUUCACUAGUUAAUUAGGCAAAUAUAGUUGCAAAGUUGGGCCUUGCUAGACCAGUUGGAAUCUAAAACGAAUUAUCAAGGGGGUCCCCACAACAACCCCGACCGUGUUAGGAGCGCUCAAUUAUGGAAUAUAACACCGAUAGCCGAAACUAAGGGGGGCAAAGGUGGAACAAAACACCAGGCUAGAAAGCCGAGCCUUCCACCUUUUACCAAGUAUAUAGGUGCAUUAAAUUAAUUAGCAAUUAUAUGGUCAUAUAGCAAGGAACCCAUGUUAUCACAUGGAAGCAACUACACCUGCAACUAGCAAAACUAACACAUGGUUAAGCAAGCGGUAACAUAGCCAAUCAGUGGUUUGCUAGGUUGUGAACAUGUUGAAAGCUUUCAUGGCAAUAUUGAGAGGCUGACAUUUAACAUGUCGUAGGCAACGAGACAUAGCGAUAGAAAUGAAACACUAGCAUUGCCAUGAUAGUAAUGGUAUCUAGGGAAACGGUCAUCUUGCCUGAGAUCCCGCUUGGAAGAAGAAUGACUCCGUGAAGCAGGCGAACCGAUGUAGUUGAACGUAUCCUCACUCUCCGAAGCGGUCAGAACUCUAUCGAGAGGAAACAACUGGAACAACAAUCACACACGGUAACAUCACAAAAGCAUGACAUGAUGCACAACACAUAUGAUGCAUGUCUAGGUUAUUUAUGCAAGGCACGACAUGGCGAUUCACAUCACGCAAACGCUACACGUUAGUUCGCUCCCGUUUAGGUACACGGAAAUAUUAAAUGUUGUUAAGCAUGGCAAGGGGUGAAGCACAAAUAAUCUACCUAUCAAGGCAUUUAAAUGAGUCCGGAAACAACAUAUAGCAUCUCCGAAAUGACCCCAUGUGUUACUUUGUAAAUCUAUCCAGAUUUGUCCUAAUCACAUUUUAUGUUUGUUAAACGAAAAAAGUGGUUCACGUGAAACUACACGUCGUUCUAGUCCCUUUACACAUAUGGAACAUCUCCAACGGAGCUACGGUCAAUAAACUACGACCUAAACCAUUUAAACACGACACAACAUGCAAAACGAGGUAAAUAGCAAGGUUAAUAGUUUUAAUCACGCGUGAGAGUUGGAAAAUAUUAAUCUACGCAAAAUUCUAGUCAAGUUACAUAUUUAAAUCACUCCGAUCCGGUGGACGGUUAAGAAUCUACGAUCGUUUGAAAAACAAUGCAUUUUCUGAAAUUCGAAUAAACGCUGCACGGAAAAAACACCAACGGGCCCUAACUAGCUAACGGGCCGAAAAGAGGCACGCGCUAAAUACUAUACUACGCCGGGGGAGGGAGAUAGCGCAAGGGGCGAGGCUGCUCACCUGGUCCAUCGGGCUGGCUGGAGGGAGGAAGGUGGGCCGAAGGGAGGAGGCGCUGGCGAGGAGUAGCGAGCUGGCCUCGCUCGCUGGGCCGAGCCGGUGGAGCGGAUGGCCACCGGGUUGCUGGGCCGGCGGGGCGUGGCCCAUGCGGGCUGGGCGAACGCCAGCGCGUCGUGCCCGUUGUCUCCCUCAUGGAGAACGAGCUUGACGGGCUCGCCAGCGGCGCACGACACGACAGAGCUGGCCGGAAUGAGCGAGGGCCCAUGGAUCCGGCGAGGUCCGGGCGCGGAACGACGGUUGGAGGUCGGAUCCUGGCAGCAGAGGUGGAUCCCAGUGGCGGCAACGGAACGAGGCGGCACGUGGCACCUCGGGAGACGGUGGCCGGGCUGAAGAGGCGACCGGAGCUCUGGGCGGCGGGAUCUGCUGCGGGCCUCCUGCGACAGGGCACCAACACGACGAAAGGCGCAGGAUCCGGCGGGAGCGAGGGCACUGCAGCGAACAGCGGCUCAAGCGAGCUCCUGGAUCGAGAGGAGCCCCGAUCUGGAGCUCGAGGCGAGCGGGGCUGGCUCGAUCCGGGCCCGGGGCGGGCCGCGAUGUGCUUUGGCGGGCCUAGAGCGGUGGUUGGCUGGUUGGCGGCGCGGAGAGAGGUGGGAGGCGACCAGGUGGCGACUGGCACAUGUUUCGAGGUGGGGAUUAGGGUUGGGCUAGAAUAGGUAGGAUUUGGGGUCUAUUUAUAGCAAAAGAGGGCUAUGGUUAGCCAUUUUUCGCCCUGGUUUCAACCUUGUGAUCUAAAUCGGACGGUCUCGAACGCGGGGACGGGCUAAGUGGCCGUGUAGAGUAGACUAGCCGGAGAUAAGAGGGAAAACAGGCGACCCGACAACGAAAUUUGAAACCGAAAAACGUCCGACGAUAAACCGAAGACGGUGCCACUACGGUCGACCAUUCGGGUACCAGACAGACUUCGAUUUCGACGAAAAUUGGCAGGCGGCCUACCUAUAUAAAAAUAAGACCGCACGCCAAGUUUCAACCCAAUCGGAGAAUAUUUUAUACACACUUUUAAAAACAAGGAUUUGACGAUGCCGCGGGCGCGUGCGUGUGUGGUCGGGCUCGAAACGGUCAACGACGAAGGUAGAGAGAACCAUCAACUAAUAACGGAUGCAAGUUUGAAAAUUGGCGGCAAGUGAGUGCCGAUGCAAUGCGAAUGAUGCGCAUGAUGCGAUGAUGAAUGCGACAGUCAACCUAAUCACAGGGCGGCAAUAGACUAAAAGGGGAAUCUUCUGGGGCGUCGGUCUCGGGUUAUCACAACUCUCCUACAAUAACAAGAGAUCUUGCCCCAAGAUCUAAGAAUGAAGAGGGGAAGAGGGUGAGAAGAGCAAAAAGGUAAAGCUUAGUUGCUUCUUUGACAAAUGAAUGAAACUAGCAAUCCUAGAAGGUGCAAAGAGAUGAAGAAUGAUAUGAGAAACAAGCAAGAAUUCACACAAAAUUUCAGCAGCACUUCGGUAGGAAAAGAGGACAAAAUUUGAUAAGCUAGAAAGAACUUGAAAGAUUCAAAACAAUCCAACCAAAUUGAAUAAACAAGGAAAGAACAUGAUCUUCAUAGAACAAGAUGAUUGACCCAAAAGAGCAACAUCACAAUGUCUCCGGAGCAAGAGAAUAGAAACUAGAUCAUUGAGAAGAAGCAAUGAAUAAGAGAAUGACAACUACUAUCAAAUGAAUUUGACAAGCAACCUAUAAAGAAGAAUUGAACGGAGUUAUUGGCAACCAACAACGAAAAGAACAAGCUUGUUGUGGACUAUGAAAACCAUCUCAAAUAAUGAGUUGACAACCGGCCAGUAACAGAAACAAGGACAAAUUGGGAGCAACACGAUAACAACGAUGGAAGAAAUAUGGGUUGAAAUAACUCAUGAUCGAAGAAUUGGUGGAUUUAAAUAUGUCAUUCUUGAAACAAACUCGCUUCAAGACUCCUCCACUAACAAGAACGCUAUAAGACCACCACAAGGAUAAGGGGAAAGAAUUGCUCUUUGAAAUGCAAGAGAAAGAAUACUAGAGGUUCUACAACAAGAAUCUUGAAGAAUACCUUGAAAAUGAAUUGAAUCCUUGAAAAACCACCACAAAACCUCUUGAAGAACACCAGAAUGAAAGGAUGAAAGAAUAAGAUAUCAUGAACAACUCCGGAAGAAGAAUUGAAAUCACUGAUGAAACAAGAAUAAGAAUUAUGUUAUGCUCAUUCUUCAUCAAGUUAAAUUGACGCCAAACAACGGAUUUAGCAUACCACUUAUUCUUCUUGAGACAGAUUUAAGAGAGAGAUAGAGCACAGACUUGAAGAAGUCUUGGAAGAAGCACCAGUAAGAAUUGCAAAUGAAUGGGAAUACCAAGAAUAAAUGGAUAUGCAUGAGAAUGAAGAGAUCAUGAUCCACCUGAGAGAAAGACAUGAACAAGCCACCAGAAUAAUUGAGAGACGAACCAAGAGACAGUAAUUGAGAAGAAUUGGAGGAUGAAAGCUGAAAGCUGAGAACGAAGAAAACUUUUGAAAUGAUGGCCUUCGGAGGAUCAAGAAUGAAAACAACUCAGAAAUGCACCGGAUAACAAGAAAGGGAUUCUCAUGAUUGGGAAUAAUUGAGAAGAUAGCACGAGGUGAGAUGAAAAACUUCAAAGAAUGGACAAGAUUUGAGAGAAACACUCCUUCGGUCUUCCAAGCUGAAAAUGAUGAGGAGAACACCACCAAGAAUUACUAAGACACUCCGGAAUAAGAAUGAGGAAUAUNNNNNNNNNNNNNNNNNNNNNNNNNNNNNNNNNNNNNNNNNNNNNNNNNNNNNNNNNNNNNNNNNNNNNNNNNNNNNNNNNNNNNNNNNNNNNNNNNNNNUACCCAUUGGAUUUUGGAAAAGGUCCCAUAUAAUCAAAGCCCCAGACAUCAAAUGGUUCAAUGACAAGUGAAUAGUUCAUAGGCAUUUCCUGACAUUUACCGAUAUUACCUAUUCUUUGACAUUCAUCACAAGACAAGACAAACUUACGGGCAUCCUUGAAGAGAGUGGGCCAAUAGAAACCUGAUUGCAAUACCUUGUGUGCAGUUCUAUCUCCCGCACGGUGUCCUCCGUAGGCCUCGGAAUGACACUUCUGUAGGAUCUGUCCCUGUUCAUGUUCAGGUACACAACGUCUAAUGACACCAUCUACUCCUUCCUUAUAAAGGUGAGGAUCAUCCCAGAAGUAAUGUCUCAAGUCAAAGAAGACUUUCUUCUUUUGUUGGUAUGUGAAACUAGGUCGUAUAUAUUUAGCAACGAUAUAGUUUGCAUAAUCAGCAUACCACGGUGCGCUACGUGAAGCUUUGAUGACAUCCAAUUGCUCACCGAGAAAGCUAUCAUCAAUUGGUUGUGGGUCAUCAAGAAUGUUCUCCAACCUAGACAAGUUAUCCGCUACUGGGUUAUCAGCACCCUUCCUGUCGACAACGUGCAAAUCAAAUUCUUGUAGCACGAAAACCCAUCUUAUAAGUCUAGGUUUAACGUCUUUCUUCUCCAUGAGGUACUUAAUAGCAGCGUGAUCAGUGUGAAUAGUGACUUUGGAAUCAACUAUGUAAGACCUGAACUUUUCACAUGCAAACACGAUGCUAAAAAUUCCUUUUCCGUAGUAGCAUAGUUUCUUUGGGCACUGUCUAGAGUUCUACUAGCAUAGUGAAUAAUGUUCAACUUCUUAUCAACUCUUUUCCCUAGGACAGCACCAACAGCAUAAUCGCUAGCAUCACACAUGAUUUCAUAAGUAAGUUCCAAUCAGGUGGUUGAACAAUAGGUGCAGUUAUCAAAGCCUUCUUAAGUAUUUCGAAGGCUUCCUCACAAUCAUCGUCAAAAACAAAAGGAAUAUCCUUUUGCAAGAGAUUGGUAAGAGACCUAGAAAUAUUAGAGAAGUCUUUAAUGAACCUUCUAUAGAAACCAGCAUGACCAAGGAAACUUCUUAUACCUUUGAUAUCUGUGGGGUAUGGCAUUUUCUGGAUUGCAUCAACCUUAGCCUUAUCGACUUCAAUACCUCUUUCAGAAAUUUUAUGUCCUAAGACGAUUCCUUUAUUAACCAUAAAGUGGCACUUCUCCCAAUUCAAGACAAGAUUGGUUUCUUUACAUCUCGACAAGACUCGAUCAAGGUUGCUGAGGCAAUCAUCAAAAGAAGACCCUUAAACGGAGAAGUCAUCCAUGAAAACUUCAACAAUCUUUUCACAAAACUCAGAGAAUAUAGCCAUCAUACAUCUUUGAAAGGUGGCAGGUGCAUUACACAAGCCAAAAGGCAUACGUCUAUAAGCAAAGGUACCGAAAGGGCAUGUGAAAGUGGUUUUCUCCUGAUCAGAUUGUGCAACUGGUAUUUGGGAGAAACCAGCAUAACCGUCUAGAAAGCAGAAGUGUGUGUGUUUAGACAGUCUUUCUAGCAUUUGGUUGGUAAAAGGCAAAGGGUAAUGAUCUUUCCUAGUGGCUUUAUUCAAUUUCCUAAAAUCGUCACCAUCCUAUAGCCAGUAAUAAUCCUGUGUGGGAUCAAUUCAUCCUUAUCAUCAGGGACAACGGUAAUCCUCCCUUCUUAGGGACGCAAUACACCGGACUUACCCAAUCACUAUGAGCAACAGGAUAGAUAAUACCUGCUUCCAGGAGCUUUAGUAUUUCUUUUCUUACUACUUCUUUCAUCUUAGGAUUCAAUCUCCUUUGAUAACCAGCAACUGGUUUGGAAUCAGGAUCAGUUUUGAUCUUGUGUUGGCAUAGAGUGGGACUAAUGCCCUUAAGAUCAUCAAGAGUAUAUCCAAUAGCAGCACAAUGCUUCCUCAAAGUUUUUAGUAACUUCUUUUCUUCAUGCUCUGACAGGCUAGCAGUAAUAAUAACAAGACAUAUCUCUUUUUCAUCAAGAUAAGCAUACUUAAGAGUAUCUGGCAAUUGUUUAAGCUCGAACACAGGAUCACCCUUUGGGAGGGGUGGAUCCCCAAGCGGUUCAACAGGCAAGUUAUUCUUAAGAAUAGGGUAUUGUUCUAAGACGACUCUAUCUAUCUCAUCCCUUUCAUACAUAUGCAUAUCAUUUUCAUGCUCAAACAAGUAUUGCUCUAAGGGAUCAGUAGGAGGCACGGCAAUAGAGGCUAAGGCAAUAGUUUCAUCCUUACUAGGCAACUCUUUUUCAUGAGUUUUCUACCAAACUUGGAGAAACUGAACUCAUGUGACACACCUUCAAAGCCAACAGUGACAGUUUGCUUCUCACAGUCAAUAUGAGCAUUGACGGUAUUGAGGAAGGGUCUGCCAAAUAUGAUGGGACAAAAGCUAUCUUGUGCGGUAGCAAGAACGAGGAUAUCAGCAGGAUACUUCGUUUUACCACACAGGACUUCAACAUCCCUAACAAUUCCCACAGGGCAGAUAGUAUCUCUAUUAGCAAGCUAAAUAGUGACAUCAAUAGGCUCUAUCUCAAUAGGUGCAAUCUCGUCUUUGAUUUCAUCAUAUAAGGAUAGGGGUAUUGCACUAACACCAGCACCCACGUCACAUAAACCAUGAUAAAAAUGAUCUCCUAUCUUAACAGAAACAACACGCGUGCCAACAACAUGCCUAUGUUUGUCUCUAGCGUGAGGUUUAGCAAUUCUAGCAGCAUCUUCACAGAGGUGAAUAUUAUGUCCCUCAACAUCGUCGGACAGAAGAUCUUUGAUGAUAGCAAUGCUAGGUUCAACUCUAAUUUGCUCAGGGGGUGUAGAUGUUCUAAUGUAUCCUCUACGUAUUACAGUUGAAGCUUUAGAAUGAUCCUUUAUCCUAACAGGGAAAGGUGGUUUCUCAAUGUAAGCACUGGGAACAACAUGAUCAUUAUAGGCAAUGACUUUCUCUUCAACUGGAUUGGGUUUAACUACAUUGACUUCUAAAGGAGGAUGAUAUUAAAACCACUUCUCUUUGGGGAGAUCAAUAUGAGCAGCAAAUGAUUCACACAAUGAAGCUACUAUCUCAGAGUCAAGUCCAUACUUAGCGCUAAAAUCAUAAAAAGUAUUUGUUUCAACAAAGGAUUUAACGCAAUCAAACUUGAAAUUCAUACCUCACUCCUUACCUUCUUCAACCUCCCAAUCUUUAGAGUUGUGUUUAAUUCUCUCCAAUAAAUUCCAUCUGAAGUCAAUAUCUCUCUUCAUAAAAGAACCGGUACAAGAAGUGUCAAGCAUGGUGCGAUCAUCAUGAGAAAGCCGAGCAUAGAAGUUCUGAAUGAUAAUUUCUCUCGAGAGGUCAUGGUUGGGGCAUGAGUAUAACAUAGAUUUGAGCCUCCCCAAGCUUGAGCGAUGCUUUCUCUGUCACGAGGCCAAAAAUUAUAAAUAAAAUUCCUAUCACGAUGUACGAAAUGCAUAGGAUAAAACUUUUGAUGAAAUUCCAAUUUCAACCAAUUGUAGUCCCAUGAUCCAGUAUCAUCACAUAGCCUAUACCAUGUCAACGCCUUAUCCUUCAAAGAUAAAGGAAAGACCUUCUUCUUGACCUCAUCCUUGGGCAAACCUGCAAGCUUAAAUAAACCACAAACUUCAUCUACAUAGAUUAGAUGCAAGUCUGGAUGUGAUGUUCCAUCUCCUGUAAAAGGAUUAGCCAGCAGUUUGUCAAGCAUACCCGAAGGAAAUUCAAAGCAAAUAUUUUUCAGUAGGUGUAGCAGGUUGAGGAGAAACUCUUUGUGCUUCCGUUCAAGGUGAAGAUACCCCGAACAAGCCCCUCAAGGAUUAGUUUCCAUAGUGACAAGUGACAAUAAAUUUUAGCACACUAUAUGAAGGUUUCCUUACCAAUUUCCACUUACCAAAGGCGCUUCACUCCCCGACAACAGAGCCAGAAAAUAGUCUUGAUGACCCACAAGUAUAGGGGAUCAAUCGUAGUCCUUUCGAUAAGUAAGAGUGUCGAACCCAACGAGGAGCAGAAGGAUCUGACAAGUGGUCUUUCCAGCACAUUGGGAUCCUAAGCUUNNNNNNNNNNNNNNNNNNNNNNNNNNNNNNNNNNNNNNNNNNNNNNNNNNNNNNNNNNNNNNNNNNNNNNNNNNNNNNNNNNNNNNNNNNNNNNNNNNNNCACCAACGCCACGAAGGCUCACCCUAUUCUCCCUUUGAGAUAACACCACGAAGGCGUUUCUCAACCACUAGUGGUAAGCCUUUGAGGUGGCUUCCAAACCCUCACAAACUUUUCCGGGGGAAAUCACACCGAUUGAUUCCUCUCCGAAGAACUCCUACCGCCUAGGAGUCUCCAACCUCCAAGAGUAACAAGAUCACGGGGAAUGCUCAAAACUUGCUCAAAUCUCAAAUAGCUUGGGUUGAGAGGAGAAGAGGGAGACGAUCUAUCUUUUGAUUGGAACAACUCUCAAAGGGGCUCACAAAUGCUCUUGGGAUCUAAGAUUUGGUGUGAGCAAAUGUGUGUGAGAUAGAAAUGUGUUCUUAUGAGGAUAUGGCUAUGUUGGGCCCCCUCUCAUGAAGUGGGAGGGGGUAUUUAUAGUGGAGAAGGGAAAGUGACCAUUGGGGUCACUUAAGUCUGACAGUGGUCGGACGUCCGGCAGUUCUCGGAUGUUCGGACUCCCACAAGGGGUCGGACGUCCGAUAGGGGUCGGUCGUCCGAGGGAUGUAUAUAUAUCAGGAACCACUGUGUAGUCGNNNNNNNNNNNNNNNNNNNNNNNNNNNNNNNNNNNNNNNNNNNNNNNNNNNNNNNNNNNNNNNNNNNNNNNNNNNNNNNNNNNNNNNNNNNNNNNNNNNNGAUCUAUAAGUCAUUGAGGAGUUUGAGAUAUUUGAAGAAUAUCGACCCCUAAAAAUGUAUAUCUUCGGUUGAAGAAAUUGGUCUGAAGCUGAAGAAAUGAAUCGCGAGGAAUCUGCGACGAAAUUGAUAUUCCUCAUGAAGAUACUGAAAUUCGGUGUGUCCUGAAGAAAAUCACUUUGAAGAAUUUGAAGCAUGAAGAUUUACUCUUUCUAUUUUAUUUUCUUCACAUUUGAGUAAUAGGAACACCGUACUGUUAAAGGGGGUCGAAGUUACACUUUGGAAUGAAUUUCCUCAUGAUGCUCAACCCAAGCCUAAUCCUAACAAAAGCCUCAAGUGAGGAAUACGAGUGACAUGAGGACUCUCACAGUUGAGGGUUCCGACCAUUUCGAUAGCCACGCCAAGUCAUUGGUCUUAUCCACUCCAACGGUCAUAUUAUUUAAGGGCAUUAGUGUCAAAUCAUGUCGGGAUGCUCCCAGGCUAUAAAUAGCCACCCCCCACAACCAUUAGCUGGUUGGCUGCUCCGUUAGAAACUGACACUUGUCAUAAGAGCAACCCAAUUCCUCAGAGUCUUCGAGAGUAAUUCAUUAGUGAGGAAAUACACCAUACACCGAAACCACAAACCAAAUGUCGUGGGUAUAAGUCUGACAGUAGAUGUCUAGGGUACGAAAGGAUGGGCAGAGCCUUAGCUACGGCGAGGUUGUAUGAGUUCACGCCCCUCUACGGUGGAGGUAAAAGCCCUACGUUCAGUGCUCUUGGGAGCUUAGUGUCGAGUGGAAUAUGGGAUUACAGUAAAUGCCAAUCCCUGCACCAGUGGGGAAGGGCGGCUUAUAUAGAGCGCGCUGCCCUCCACAACGGCCCGGUGGACAGGGGUGGAAUAGUGGCGAAUAAAUGCCUACGUUACAGGUAACGUAUGCCUUAAAUGCUAAUAAUGGUGUAUGAAAACGUAUGACCGUUGCCCUCCUGGGAGCUUACAAUGUACAGAGUGGAAUUCAGUCGGUACGAUAAAUACACUACGAAUGCUUGUCACCGACUGGAUGAUGGGGGGGUCCUUAGUUCAGUCGGAACUGUGUAAGGGCCUUGCCCUCUAUGAAGGGUAGUCCUUGGGUAGGACCUAUAGGGCAGGCCUAUGACCCUACCUUGGGACUAUAGCCCCAUCAUUAGUCCCCGAAUGGAUCGGCGUUGGAAUGAUGAAGUGAUGCGUGGAGUANNNNNNNNNNNNNNNNNNNNNNNNNNNNNNNNNNNNNNNNNNNNNNNNNNNNNNNNNNNNNNNNNNNNNNNNNNNNNNNNNNNNNNNNNNNNNNNNNNNNAAGCUUAGGAUCCCAAUGUGCUGGAAAGGGCGUUCGGUCGGCGACACUUACGACCCGAGACCCGACGCAAGAGGGCGAAUCGCCCAGCGAAGAGUCGACAGAGGUCGAGCCCACCGCGAUGGCCACGACCUGGAUCGUCCGAGUGGCAGCAGGACCAUCGUGUCCGGCCCCGAGUGUUUUAGUCGAGCCAUCCGCUCGGCUGACAUCCCGCCCAACUUCCGAUUGGCAGCGGGAAUCGGUAAAUUUACGGGGGAAUCCAAGCCUGAAACAUGGCUAGACGACUACCGAGUGGCAGUCCAGAUCGGAGGAGGGGACGACUAUGUCGCUAUGAAGCACCUCCCUCUGAUGCUCGACGGCUCGGGCGAGCUUGGCUGAACCAGUUAGCCCCCUCAAGCAUUUACAGUUGGGCAGAUCUCGCCCGAGUGUUCAUCAGGACCUUCGAAGGGACGUGCAAACGCCCUGCAGGCCUCGUGGAGCUUCAGCACUGUGUCUAGAAGCCGAAUGAGCCCUUGCGCGACUUCAUCCAGCGAUGGACGACUCUCUACCACACGGUGGAGAGCGUCACCGAGCAUCAAGCAGUCUGCGCAUUCAAGGCAGGCGUACGGUACAGAGAGUUGUACCUAAAGUUCGGCCGGACAGGCGACAUCUCCAUGAGCAAGAUGAUGUAGAUAGCUGCUUGUUAUGCAAAUGGCGAGGAAGAAGACCGUAUCCGGAGCGGCAAACACAAGAUAGUCGGCGAUGCCGACGGAGGUAACACUCGGAAGCAGAAACAGAAAGUUCCACCCACACCGCAGGCAGAAGCUGCAGCUGUGACCAGCGCCAAGUUCAAGGGCAAAGGGAAAGCGCAGUCUGCCCCCAAGAAGAAGCCGUUCAACAAUCCCAUCCUGGAUCAGCUUUGUCCAAUACACACGAAGAUGGACGAAGAAGGCAAUUCCAUAUACGCGAAGCGUACCACUCGGCAGUGUCGUCUCCUGAUCCAGGGGUUCAGCGAAGGACAACCGAGUGAGAAGAAUCCUGAACAAGAUGAGGAGGAUAAAGAGGAUCCGUUCCCCCAAGUCCAUGCAACCCUCAUGAUUUUUGCUGACGUCGAAAGCAAGAGUCGACUGAAGCUAGUGAACAGAGAGGUCAACAUGGCCGUUCCGACUGCUCCUAAGUUCCUUAGAUGGUCUCAGACUGCGAUCACCUUUGAUCAGUCGGACCAUCCAACGCAUGUCCCCACUCCAGGAAGACAGGCUCUGGUCGUCGACCCGGUGGUGGAAGGAGUCCGACUGCGCAAAGUCCUCAUGGACGGCGGUAGCGGACUGAACAUCAUGUACGCCGACACCCUCAAGGGAAUGGGCAUUCCGAUGUCCAGACUCAGCGAGAGCAAUAUGCAGUUCCACGGAGUCGUCCCCGGGCGGAAGGCCAAGUCACUCAGCCAGAUCGCGUUGGACGUCACUUUUGGCUCCGACAAAAACUUUCGCAAGGAGAAGCUCACAUUCGAGGUGGUGGAUUUCCAGAGCGCUUACCAUGCAAUUCUGGGCCGCCCGGCGUACGUGAGUUUCAUGGCACGCCCGUGCUAUGUGUACUUGAAGUUGAAGAUGCCAGGUCCAAAAGGCGUUAUCACCAUCACCGGCAACCGUCAGCGAGCCGAGGAGUGUCUGCAAGAGGGAUCAAGGAUCGCCGACCAGCAGAUGGCUGUACUCGAGCUCGAAGAGUACAAGAAGACAGUCGACCCUGCCGACUUAAUGCGCUCAAAGAAGCCAGCUUCUGAGUCCGCGUUCCAGUCGGCGGGAGAGACUAAGAAGGUCAGCAUCCACCCGACGGACGAGUCUGCCGCCCCGACGAACAUCUCCACCACCCUCGAUCCUAAAUAGGAAGCCGAGCUCACCCAAUUCCUCCGUGAGAACUGGGACAUCUUCGCAUGGAAGCCUUCUGACAUGCCGGGUGUACCCAGGGAGUUGGCUGAGCACCGACUGCAUGUGGAUCCCGUCGCUCGGCCCGUCCGAGAGCGCCUGCGUCGGUCCGCCCCGCACAAGAGGAAGGCAAUCGGAGAAGAGGUGGCCAAGCUGCUGACUGCCAACUUCAUUCGCGAGGUUCACCACUCCGAGUGGCUCGCCAAUGUCGUCAUGGUGCUCAAGAAGGACAAGUCACUCCGAAUGUGCAUUGAUUUCAAGCACCUCAAUAAGGUCUGCCCGAAAGACCAUUUUCCGCUCCCCCGCAUAGAUCAAAUUGUCGAUUCGACUGCGGGAUGCGAGCGUUUGUCAUUCCUUGAUGCCUACUCGGGUUAUCAUCAGAUCCGUCUGUAUGGUCCCGAUGAGUUGAAAACAGCCUUCAUCACCCCGUUUGGGUGCUUCUGCUACAUCACUAUGCCUUUCGGUCUGAAGAAUGCAGGAGCUACCUUUAUGCGCAUGAUCCAAAAAUGUCUCCUCGACCAGAUCGGUCGCAAUGUGGAGGCAUACAUGGAUGAUAUCGUAGUCAAGUCACGCAAAGGUUCCGACCUGCUGACUGACUUGGCAGAAACAUUCGCCAACCUUCGUAGGUACGAUAUCAAGCUAAACCCAGCCAAGUGUUCAUUCGGUGUUCCCAGCGGAAAGUUACUCGGUUUCUUCGUUUCCGAACGAGGGAUCGAUGUUAACCCCGAAAAGAUCGGGACCAUCGUCCGAAUGGAUAGGCCGGUCAGAAUACACGAUGUUCAACGGCUCACAGGUUGCCUAGCGGCUUUGAGCAGGUUCAUCAGUCGACUCGGCGAAAAAGCACUUCCUCUGUACCGACUCAUGAAGAAGUCAGAUACCUUCGAGUGGACAGACGAAGCCCAAGUCGCAUUCGACGACCUCAAAGUCCUACUUUCCACCCAGCCGGUUCUUACUGCUCCGCUCAGUAAAGAGCCCCUUCUUCUAUAUAUCGCGGCUACAAAUCAAGUCGUCAGUACUGUUCUUACAGUCGAGCGAGAAGAAGAAGGCAAAGCAUACAAAGUUCAGCGGCCAGUGUACUACGUCUCCGAAGUCCUGACCCCCUCCAAGCAGAGGUAUCCCCAUUAUCAGAAGCUUAUCUAUGGGAUCUAUAUGACUGCGAAGAAGGUGGCCCAUUAUUUCCAAGACCACUCGGUAUCUGUCGUUUCUGAUGCUCCUUUGUCGGAAAUUCUCCACAAUCGAGACGCGUCAGGCCGAGUGGCGAAGUGGGCAAUGGAGAUGCUGUAUUGUGACAUCAAGUUCGAGGCCAAGAAAGCUAUUAAGUCUCAAGCCCUGGCUGACUUUAUAGCAGAAUGGGUAGAACAACAGCAACCGACUCACAUCUACUCGGCUCAUUGGACAAUGUUCUUCGAUGGGUCUAAGAUGUUGAAUGGAUCCGGCGCUGGUGUUGUGAUCAUAUCACCCAAAGGCGACAAGCUCAAGUAAGUGCUCCAGAUACACUUUGAUUCCUCCAACAACGAGGCGGAGUAUGAAGCUCUCCUCUACGGAUUGAGCAUGGCCAUCUCACUCGGCGUCCGUCGCUUGAUGGUCUACGGCGAUUCGGAUUUGGUGGUCAAUCAAGUGAUGAAAGAGUGGGACGUAAGGAACCCCACCAUGACAGUGUACUGCAAUGCAGUAAGGAAGCUGGAGAAGAAGUUUGAAGGUCUAGAGCUCCAUCAUGUUCCGAGACUGAAGAACCAAGCAGCUGAUGCGUUGGCGAAACUCGGAUCCACUCGGAGACCAGUCCCGAGUGACGUUUGCCUCGAGCACCUCCAUCUUCCUUCAGUUAAAGAAGAUCCCUUCACUGAAGAACCGAUACAACCCAAGAGCGCAACAGAUCCGACUGAAGUCGAUGUACCUGCGGUGGUUGAUCUGGUCACGGAGAUUCUGGUAGUCAUUCCCGAUUGGACUGUGCCGAUCAUGGCAUAUAUCCUGAGACAAGAACUUCCAGAAGAUGAAGUCCAAGCCCGACAAAUAGUUCGCAGGUCGAAGGCAUUCACUGUCAUUGACGGUCAAUUGUACAAGGAGAGUGUUUCAGGCGUCCUCCAACAUUGCAUUUCCCCAGAGGAAGGACAGUUGAUCCUAGAGGAUAUCCACUCGGGAACCUGCGGCCAUCACGCUUCUUCGAGAGCAAUCGUCGCCAAGGCAUUCAGAGCUGGAUUCUUCUGGCUGCAGGCUAACGAGAUGGCCAAAGCUAUGGUCGACCGAUGUGAAGGCUGUCAGUUCUACUCCAACAAGUCCCACAAGCCAACAUCUGCACUAAAGCCAAUCCCACUUGUGUGGCCAUUUGCAGUUUGGGGAUUAGACACAGUCGGGCCAUUCAAGACAGGCCAAGGAGGCUACACACAUCUGUUGGUGGCAGUCGACAAGUUUACAAAAUGGAUAGAAGCCAAGCCCAUCAAGAAGCUCGACGCCUUCACAGCCGUUAAGUUUGUCAGGGACAUCAUCUCCAGAUUCGGAGUGCCUCACAGCAUAAUCACGGACAAUGGGACAAACUUCGACUCGGAUAGAUUCAAAGGUUUCUGCGCGAGUCAGGGUAUCCGAGUGGAUUUUGCUUCCGUAGCACAUCCGCAAUCCAAUGGACAAGCUGAGCGCGCGAAUGGACUUAUCCUUCAAGGUUUGAAGCCUCGACUCUUGCGAGAGGUAGGACAUGCUGCUGGUGCAUGGGUCACCGAGUUACCUUCAGUACUUUGGGGCCUCCGCACCACUCCAAACCGAUCAACGGGGCGAUCGCCGUUCUUCCUCGUCUAUGGAGCAGAAGCGGUCCUUCCGAGUGACCUGCUUCACAAUGCCCCGCGAGUCGAACUCUUCUCCGAAGCCGAAGCGGAACAAGCAAGGCAAGAUGGAGUCGAUCUUCUGGAGGAGGAACGCGAGAUGGCACUCACUCGUUCAACAAUUUACCAACAAGAUCUGCGACGCUUUCAUGCACGUCAUGUCAGGAGCCGCACGUUCCAAGCAGACGAUUUAGUGCUCCGAGUGGAUCAGCAAAGACCCCACAAGUUGGCUCCGGCCUGGGAGGGGCCUUUCAUCAUUUCCAAGGUGCUGAACAGCGGAGCAUACAGAUUCUACAAUAUUCAGAGGGAGACAGACGAGCCGCGCGCAUGUGUGCACUAUACGUCGCACUCGGGGACUUAGCUGUGAUCAAGAAUCACCUAAGUACGCACUUCCUCCGAGUGUGCACUAUACGUCACACUCGGGGACUUAGCUGCGAUCYUGAAUCGCCUAAGUACUAACCUCCUCCGAGUGUGCACUAUACGUUGCACUCGGGGACUUAGCUGCGAUCCUGAAUCGCCUAAGUGCUAACCUCCUCCGAGUGUGCACUAUACGUCACACUCGGGGACUUAGUUGCGAUCCUGAAUCGCCUAAGUACUAACCUCCUCCGAGUGUGCACUAUACGUCGUAUUCGGAGACUUAGCUGUGAUCACGAAUCACCUAAGUAAUAACUCCCUCCGAGUACGCACUAAGUGUUGCACUCGGAACAACAUUUCAACAAAAGACUAAAUGUUUUCAUUCCGACAACAUAAGUUCAUAAACGAUAGCUGACUCAGUGCGGGUCAAGAUUACCCGCACCGAUUUAAAAGUAUGACGGCCAACAGAAGUGGCCACAAUAUCUUACAGGUAAACACUCGGCAUACCGAGGAUAAAGUUUGAUCACGCGUCAGCUGGGCCGGCGUCAGGACUGGAGGGCUCCACAAAAGUGUCCAAGUCGAUUCCAUCAGCGAUGCGGGUAGCAGUCUCAAGGAACGUCUCCAUGAAGUCUUCGAAUUGAAGCUUCUUCGUGUUGGCGACCUUCAAUGCUUUCAGCUUAUCUUCCCGCACCUCCUUGCAAUGGACUCGGACCAAGGACAGCGCAACGUCAGCACCGCAACGCGCUGCCGAUUUCUUCCAGGAUUGCACUCGGUCCGGAAUCUCCUCCAGUCGCCCCAACAGAGUCUCCAUCUCCUGCCGCGACUCGUCUUCCGGCCAAAGCUCCUUCUCAAUGCGGCCGAUGACUUCUCUCAGUCGGCUAAUGAAAGGACCCACUUUGCCUACGCGGAUAUGCGCCCGGAGCAGAUCCCGGUUGGCGUCCUCGCCGAGUGGCACAUUGUCCUUCAUGGACCGCUCCACAGCCGCCGCUUCAGCUUCGGCGUCACCACAAAAAUCUGCACCAAACGAGCAAACGGACAGUAAAAACCAAGUGUUCGUCACACGGUACAACCACUCGACAAAGCAUAAGACUUACCAGCCAGACGAGUCAUCAUCUGGACAGCCCAGUCGUUGACAUACUUCUCCUGAGCUGUCCAUCGUUUGUUCCGAACAGCCAUUUGAUUGUGCAGUUCAGUCCUCUGUUUCUUCAGUCUCUCCACCUCCGCCACCAACACCCUGUUUGCCUCCAGCGCCUCCUCCAAGGACUUCUCUCGAACUUCCAGCGCGUCCUUCAUGCCGGCCAUGGCGAGCAUUGCAGCUUCCAGUUCACCAGCAUACUGGUUCCUCUCCGCUCUCAAGGCUUCACAAGCAGUUCCCAUUUCACAAGUUUUCUGCACCAAGAAACAAAGGGUAAUCAGCAAGUUUAUCAGUUCACAGGCUAAGUUCUUCAGACCCCUGCCGACGCAAGCAGUCGACAGCGGUCUCGGGGACUACACCCAGUGGGUUCACUAAGAGUGACCCCACUGGCAUGCACCUCAAGCAGGCCCGCCCUAUUGAGAUGCAUGUUUUCAGCUACGCCUCAGGGGCUAAUACUACUCCACCUGCGUGCAACUUACUCUCGGAGACUCUUACCGCAAGAGCGCUCCGACUGCAAUAAGUACUCGCACUCGGAAAUCUUGUCUACGGACACAACCAAACUAAAGACCAAAUGUAUAAAGACAACUGUCGGUGCAAGCACUCGAAAGAAGUCUCGGGGACUACACCCACUGGGUUCACUCGGAGUGAACCCAUUGCAAACAGCAGACAACACCCAGUGGGUUACAGAAGAAAAGUAAGUACUUACUAGACUACUUACUCGGAUGUCAUCGCGCAGCUCCAAGCUCCGCCGGUACAAAGCCGCAACGGAGUCAUAAGCCCUCUUGGCCUCUCCGGCCAUCAGCUCCGCCUGGAUCAUGGCCCCCUUGGCCGCUCCCACCUGCUCCUCUGGGACACACCGAAUGCUGAAUUCAGCAUUCGACGAACCGGGAAUCGUGGGAAGUUCCUGGGGCAUCCCAAGGUUCGCCCCAGUAGGUUCCUCACCCACCGGCACCGGUUCAGUCGGUGGGGGCACUUCGGUCGGUGGAACGUCGGCGGCAGGGGCGGCAGCAGGAGGAGCAGCCUCACGGACAGGCUCCAUGACAGGCUCCACGGACGGGUCGGCUCUCCCCUGGUCGUCCCCGUCCAGACAAGUCGCCCCUGACAAGCCGAAUAACACGGCGCCUCAGAAAAAGAAAAGGAUGACGCGGUCUACAGGAAUAAAAUACCCGACCCUCCCACAACAUACCUGGCUGGGACGAAACGACGUUGUCCGUGUCCAUAGGGUCGUCCCCUUGGCGGGCUGGCGAGGUCGCAGAAGUGGCAACCCUGUCGAGUGAAGUCCAUUCGACUUGUAAAGCAGGAGUUCACUCGGUCAACAGAAAGGGCCGAAAGUUAGAUUCACUUACGUGGAGGUGACGGGGAUGGUCAUCCUCAUCCGCGGCAGAGCCUUCCGAGGUUUGGGCCCACUCGGCUUGGGCGCCCUGGAGGACUGGCCUGCAAGUUCAGCGGCUGCGUCCCUGGCCCUCUUGGUGCCUCGAACACUCGGUACCGCCGGGGCAUCAGGCGGAGCACUCGACGACGCAGGAGGAGCUGAAGGGACGGCAGGCUCAUGCCGGCGCUUGCUCCGAUGCUCUGGCCGCGGAGGUGGCGAGUCUGGCUCUUCGUCCUCUUCUUCUUCCUCGCUGUCUUCCUCCUCCGACUCCCCGCUGUCGGAGACGUAUUCGGCGCUCUCCACGCUCCCCUCCUGGCUGCCGUCUUCCUCCUCCUCCGGAUUCCCGUUCGAGACGGGGGAGGACCAGUUGGUCCACUCCUGCAUGAGGUUCAGUCGGAAACGUUAAGCAUCACACGGAGAUAUAAAUAAACGACUGGAAUCAAGACAGUUCAAUGCACUCGGCUGAUGCUACUCACCUGAUUCGGUGGAGGGUUGUCCGCGCUGUAAGGCGUCACUCGGCGGGCUCCUUUGGGGUUCUCACAGGGACCCGUGAUUUGGAGCACCCACGAGGUCACCUUCUCCUCGAGUAUGCCCUCCACGUUGGUCCGAGUGGAAUCCUCGGGCCCUGCGUAGUGCCACAUAGCGUGGUGGCGGGCCUGCAGAGGCUGGGUUCGCCGACCGAUGAAGACUUCCAGCAGGUCAAUACCGGUGACCCCCCUUCUGACAACAUCCACGAGCGACUCGACUAAAGGCUGGAUGUCGUUCUUCUCGGCUUUCGAGAGGGCGAGUUGCUUGGGUGGAGCAGGACGGUCUAGACUAAACGGAGGCAGCCCAGUCGACGCAUUCGGACAGGCUAUGUCCUGGCAGUAGAACCACGUCGACUGCCAGUUCCUAACCGACUCGCUCAACUGGAGAGCAGGGUAGCUGCUCCGACUCUUCUUCUGAAACCCUAAACCCCCGCAGAGCUGGAGGAGAUGCGUCUUGUCAUCCGACUGACUAAGACGUUUGAUGGUUUGAGAGCGGGCGGAGAAGAUAUGUUUGAAUAAACCCCAAUGGGGGGGGCAACCGAUAAAGCACUCGCACAAAACAAUGAAGGCAGAAAGGUGGGCGAUGGCAUUCGGAGGGAAGUGAUGGAGUUGAGCACCAAAAUGAUUCAUGAUGCCUUUGAAGAAGGGAUGCGGGGGCAGAGAAAAACCUCUGUGAACAUGGCUGAGGAGCAAGACGCGCUCCCCUCCCGUGGCGCCGGCUCGACCUCGUCGUCCGCCGGCAGCCUCCAGGACUUAUGCACGAGCAGGCCGUGCUCUACCAGCUCCAGCAGGUCCCCCUCCGUCACCGUGGAGGGGAGAAAGUCUCCCUGGAUCCACCCCGCCGGCAACGGCCGCUGCCGCCGCUGAGCAGCCGCCGCCUUGUUCUUCUUCUUCCUCGCCUCCAUCUUGCUGGUCUGACCUUUGGUCAUGGCGGCGACGGCGAGCUCUCGAGAAGGAGGGGAAGAGAAGGGUGUAUGAGCGCAGGAGGUGGCGAGGAAGACGGAGCAGGCAAGAGCAAAGGAUUCGACGAGCGUAACCGAAGGGUCUCGUCGCCCAGAGUUAAAUAGAGCACCGACUGGGUCGCUGGCGAGCGGGCCCGAAAUCUUAUCUGCCCAACCAGCCGCGGCGAUAUCAGUGGAGGAGUUGAAGGCGCGAGGAUCGAGGAGUCAGGCGCUACUAGAGCGCGCUGACGUCGUCCCCGCUAAGCGCGCGGAACCCGAAAUUUGAGAUCCCGGAAAAUCCGCCGCUGUCAGUUGACCGGUCGCAUCAAAAGAUGCCGCGAAAGCACUCGGUUCCCGACAGUCUGUUUCGCAAAACACCUCCACUCGGAUCAUUGGUCAGGAGAGAUAAAAUAGAUAGAGGCAAGCAACGCCCAAGCCGAACCUAGUCCAGUCGGAUCUGAACCUCGAGCACUGCUUCGACGUUUCAACCCCAAUCCAUUCGGGGACUAAUGAUGGGGUCAUAGUCCUAGGGUAGGGUCAUAGGCCUGCCCUACAUGUCCUACCCAAGGACUACCCCACACAAGGGACAGGACUUUAAGUAUGCCCCGACUGAAUUAAGGUGCCCCCAUCAUCCAGUCGGUAACAGGCCCAGAAUCAUCCAGUCGGAGACUAACAUUCGGAGAGCACCGGGCCUACCGACUGGAUACACUCGGUACGUCGUAACCUCUCUGGAGGGAAACUGUNNNNNNNNNNNNNNNNNNNNNNNNNNNNNNNNNNNNNNNNNNNNNNNNNNNNNNNNNNNNNNNNNNNNNNNNNNNNNNNNNNNNNNNNNNNNNNNNNNNNUCCUAUGGACUAAUGGUUGCCUUAAGUUACAUUUAUAGGAUUUGUCCAUAGGCACUUCUUGAAGUCCAUCUGUUGGGUUCAAGGAGUUUAUAUGAUGACCAAGAUUGUAUUCAAGGUAUUAUCCAAAGUAUGGUCAUAGAGACACGUGGUUGAUCAAGAUCUAAGAGAAAGAGUAAAUCAAGAUGAUCAACACACAAAGCGUACAAGAUGUACCGAGAGGGAUCAAGUGAUCCCAUGGUAUGGUAAGCAUUGUCCAUUACGUGUUUGUGUACUAACCCAUGGUCUUCGUGAGAGUUCUAUGUGAGGGUUAGGUGUGUUUCCAUGGGCUUGCGUCAAAGGAAAGAUCUCAUACAACCCAUGAAGUAUGACGUCAAGUUGUGAUCGUCAUCAAGAUUGCGAUGUGCAAGUUCAAGUGGAUCAACACGAAGAUAGUAUGCUUGAAGCUUGUCGUCCAUUGUGGUGGCAAUGGGCUUGUGAAGAUAUGCUGAAGAAUGGCUGACCCAUAGUGAGUAUGGGGGAGCAAUCAACUAGUCUUCAUCAAGCCAACGCAAUCAAGAAAGAUGGUCCAUCUUGAGGAAGCCAAGAUCAUCAUCAUCUAGCUCAGGAGGACGAGGUGCAAGGUAUUGGUUUGUCAUUGAUAGGUUUUCUGUUUAGGAUAGAUUGUUGUACUAUCAAGGGGGGCUCUCAAGUGAGUAGCUUGAUCGUAUCGUUCGUUGAGAGCUCAAACCAUUUGCAUCCUUACAUCAUACUUCUUGGUUCUUGUUUGGUGUUUCUCUUUGUGAGUUUUAGAGCUUAUGGUCAUCUUCGUGACAAGCUCGAGUUCAUCGAAAACGGAGUCCAUAUGCAUCUACUAUGAUGUUUUCGAUGUUGGAGUUUUUGCCGGAUUCUUCAUUCAUAGAGGACUCGCAUCUCUAUAUCAUUGGCAUUUUCAUAUCUGCAUGGUCUUAAGAUUUCCUUGUCGUCCUGAAUCCAACAAGCUUGGGUUUGCUCGAUUCGGAGCUCGUAUGCGAAAGUUAUAGCUGUUUCAGUGGCGAGCGGUAGUACCGCUAGAGUUGGCGGUAGUACCGCUGGCCCUAGCGGUAGUACCGCUAGAGCUGGCGGUAGUACCGCUGCCCAGCGGUAGUACCGCCCCUGGCCAGCGGUAGUACCGCUCCAAGUUUUUAGUUUCGUCAUCUUUGCGGUUGUACUGCGUCGGACAUUUUUGCGAAGACUUUCUUGGCGGUGGUUGGCCCGGUAGUAUCUUUGCGCUACCAUGGGCUCAGCGGUAGUACCGCUGCAGCCAACGGUAGUACCGCUGCAGCCAGCGGUAGUACCGCCGGAGGGUCAGCGGUAGUACCGCUGGGCUCGGGCUGUAAGUGGGGGUAACGGUCUGAUUCCUUCCCCCACUAUAUAAAGGGGGUCUUCUUCCCCCUUGGCCUUACUUAUCCGUUGAGCUCUUAUUCUACCUCCAUUGUUGACAUUCUUAGAGCUUGCUAACUCUCAAUCCCUCCAAUGAUUCUUGCUUGUUCUUGAGGGAAAAGAGAGAGGAGAUCUAGAUCCACAACUCCACCAAUCACUUUCUCCUCUAUGUGAGGGGAACCCCUUGGAUCUAGCUCUUGGAGUUCUUUGUGAGCUCCUUGUUCUUCCUCUCAUAUUUCUCCAUAGCUUUUGUUGUUGUGGAGGGAUUUGAGUGUGAGGGACUUGACCACUUCGUGUGCUCUUGCCAUUGCAUUGGUUGCAUCGGUUUGAGUUCUCCACGGUGAUACGUGGAAGUGAAGUUUGAGAAGCUUAUUACCUUUGGUACUUAGUACCCUAGAUAUUGUUCUUCGUGGAUGCUUUGGCGUCCUAGAAGCUUGGUGGUGUCUCCGAGCUCAAUCAUUGUGGUGUGAAGCUCCGGGCAAGCGUCGGGGCCUCCAAUUAGGUUGUGGAGAUAGCCCUGAGCAAUUUGUACGGGUACCGGUAACCGCCCCCAAGGGUUGCCACGUGUACGGGUUCGGUGACCUCCCCCAAGGUUUGCCAUUUGUACGGGUUCGGUGACCGCCCUCAAGGGUCCCUUAGUGGAAUCACGGCAUCUUGCGUGUGCGAGGGCGUGAGGAGAUUACGGUGACCUUAGUGGCAUCUUGGGGAGCAUUGUGCCUCCACACCGCUCUAACGGAGAUUAGCAUCCGCAAGGGUGUGAACUUCGGAAUACAUCAUCGUCUCCCCGUGCCUCGGUUAUCUCUUACCCGAACCCUUUACUUAUGCACUUUACUUUGUGAUAGACAUAUUGUUUAUUGUAAUAUAUCUUGCUAUCACUUAGUUGUUUAUCUUGCUUAGCAUAAGUUGUUGGUGCACAUAGGUGAGUCUAGUUGUUUGUAGGUUUUGUGCUUGACAUAUUAAACGUUAGUUUUAUUCCGCAUUUGUUCAAGCCUAAACCUUAAUUAUUUUAAAGCGCCUAUUCACCCCCCCCCCUCUAGGCGACAUCCACGUCCUUUCAGGCCUGCUCUUAGCACGACGUUGAUGAGCGCCCUAAUGGUGGACACGAGAACGAGCUCACCUUGUAUAACGCCAGCCCAAGCCUGCAUUCGGCGCUGUGAGCGGCUAACUGAGGAGCGAAUUAUGCCACCAUGGCGUACUUAUGGCGUCCUGGAGCAGCCAGGACCCAGGAGAUGGCCCGGCGGGCGCACGAACUCCAGGCCAUGGAGUCACGACGCUUCGGUGACAAGGACCGCGCGGUGGUUUGUGAGCAGCAUCGCACCGGUGGUAAAGGCUUCGCUGUGUGACAACGCGAGCUAGAGGGAGAUGGCAUCGAGGACAAGAGCCGGCAAGCGAUAGCGUUACAGCCGCUAGCCAAACAAAUUGCGAUUUUAUUCGACUACGCUUACACUGACGACGUAACUUCAUUACGUUUACAUUUCCGUUGCUUCAUCCGAACCAAACACCUCCUAUGUUUGGUAAAAGUCUUUAUGACCGUUCGCUCCAAAAACAUAUGCAUCAUCUUGAACAAAUGUUGAUAUUCCAUUCGGUGUAGGUAGACCAUGUAUGCACCAUACAGUAAUCCUACACCUAAGAAGGGUUACGAAGGGAGUUACAUAACUUUCCUUCACUAAUUCCCCACCCACCCCCCUUCGAUUUUCAGGUGGGGGUGGGCCCCUCCUUCUCUUAAUCUCAAUCCCAAUCUACCCUAUUUAGCGCCACACGCGUCGGUUAUCGGCAAAUUUUGCUAACCGGCGCCGGUAGCGCUCCGCAAAUAGCCGACCCAUCUAUAGAUCCUGUUUGUGUUUUAAUCCGUGAACUUUUUUUCAAAUUGAUGAACUCUUUUGAAAUCGUUGAACUUUUUUGAAAACCGAUGAACUUUUAAAAAAACAGGUGAACUUUUCUGAAAAUCGGUGAACAUGAUUUAAAAUUCAUGAACUUUUUCAAAAUCAAUGAACUAUUUUUAAAAAUUGAUGAAGUUUUUUUGAAAAUCGAUGAUUUGUUUCGAAUUCUAUGAACUUUUUGAAAAUCCAUGAACUUAUUUCAAACACCAGUGAACUUUCUUUCAUAAUCAUUGAACUUUUUCACAAAUCUAAACUUUUGAAAAUUCUAUGAAGUUUUUUUUUUGAUUUUUUAAUGACCAACGCAUUCUACAUGGGCCGGCUCAUGAGGAGGAGUGCUGAAGGCGGUACAUAGGAGGUCCAACAUAAUGAGAGGAGUUUUGCCAUUUAAGGGCUUUUUUCUUUGCUAAACUGGGUCUUUUGGUCCAAAAUUUCUACCACGUGUUGGAGUUUGUUCUAGGGCUGGUUUCCCGGGCAGAUCAUGUUUGAGGCUUCAGACGUCCGUUAUAGGCAAGUUUGCAAACGGGGGUCUGAAGCACACCCCUCUUCUGGCAGCUGGGUUGGCCCGUCUUAACGUACCAAAAAUAGGUGCGAUAGCGACGUCCAAACUAGCGACCUCUUACAAACCAAUCCGUGGUUGGAUGGUUAGGAGGACUGUGGUAUUCCCUGUCUAUUAGAGUUUAAGUUUCAGAGUUGACAUUGAUUCUUGCAUUUUCUUCGAUUUAUUUCAGGUCUUCCGGCGAUGUGCUUUUAGUGUGAGGAGACGUUCCCGUAGACAACGAAGGCGUCAGUGACGACUUCGUCAAUCUCAAGAUGAUGUGCCGGUUUAGUCUCUCGAAGGUGCACAUAGGGGUAGGGUGUGCGUGCGUGCGUUUAUAGGGGUGAGUGUACGCUC